rnacentral:lncRNA from 1 species
CUCUCUCUAUCUCUCUCCUCCUGUCUGGUUUUCUUCCAUGGCUGCUUCUCUGCAUUUUUUCCAUCUUCUUCUUUUGAUCUCUUUCUUUUUGUGCAAUCUCAACUUAUCUCUAGCAAAACCCUCUCACCCACCAAAGGGUCUAAUUUUUCAUGUGACCAAGGAUGUGUCAACCCUCCAGUAUAUGACCACAAUUCAUCAUGGCACUCCACUUGUGCCCACCAAGCUUGUGGUUGAUCUUGGCGGUCCGUUCCUUUGGCUCAACUGUGGGUCAUCAUCAUCUUCUAGCCGUCUGAUUGCUCAGGGCUCGAUCCAAUGCUUAGCAGCAAAGCCAAAAACCCAUAAUCAGGGAAGCAAGAACUACCUCUCUAGCAAUGACAACAACAAGAAGUGUCAUGUUUUCCCAGAAAACAGCAUCACCCAGAUGGCAACACAAGGGGAGUUAGUGCAAGACAUUAUGGCCAUCCAAGUCAUAGAUGGGUCAUCAAAGACAGAGUCAGGUUCAAUCACCACCCUUGAUUCCAAUUUCCUGUUUUCUUGUGCACCUAUGUUCCUUUUGAAUGGCUUAGCAAGUGGUGCCAGAGGAAUGUUAGGCCUUGGAAGGACUCAGAUUUCAAUGGCCUCACAAAUCUCUGCCAAACUCAGCUCCAAAUUGCAAUUCAUGCUCUGCCUAUCUUCAUCAAAUGGGGUCAUAUUACACAACAAUGGCCACUUUGGCUCUGAAAUUUCAAACUCACUCACAUACACAUACACAUACACACCCUUCCUCACCAACCAACAAGAGUAUUUUAUCAACUUGAAGUACAUUAAAAUCAGUGGCAAGAGAUUAUCUCUAAACAAAGAGGGUUUUAGAGAAGGGAUUAAGCUAAGCACAACUGUUCCUUACACUACCAUGGAGAGCUCAGUUUAUGUUACAUUUACCAGAGCUUAUGAGCAGGCAGCUAUGGCUAUGAACAUGACCAGAGUGGCUCCUGUGGCACCAUUUGUGCUCUGUUUUAGUUCAGAACAGGCUGAGGGCAGAGGGGUUGGUCCAAAAGUGCCUGCUAUUGAUCUGGUGCUGCAGAGUGAGAUGGUGAAGUGGAGAAUUCAUGGUAGAAAUUCAAUGGUUCAGGUGAGCAACCAAGUGAUGUGCUUGGGGUUUUUGGAUGGAGGUUCUGACUUGAAGACUUCCAUUGUAAUUGGAGGAUAUCAAUUAGAGGAUACUCUUCUGCAUUUUGAUUUGAGUGCUUCUGUGCUGGGAUUUAGCAGUCAAACAAGUUGUUCUGACUUGAGAUUAGAUUUUGCGCUUAAAGAUUCAUUGUAAAUUAAUGUUUUUGUUUGAUUUUGGUAGAAACUAUAAUGUAAAUUUUGACUAUCCAGCUCACUAAUUUCCUUUGUGCAGCAAGCUUUUAUUAAUGUCAUGAUUAUUUUAAUUUCCUUUUUUAAUCGUCUGUUUUACACUUACUCUGCUUGUGAUGGUAGCAUUUCUUUACUUUUGUCACUCAUUAAUUUUUAAGAAAUUGUCAAAUUGUCAAAUUUGAAUGUGAAGGAGCACAUGAUAUUGCUUUCUGAAAAUCACAUAGAUCAUCUCUAUAUUUUAUUUUUUUCUUGAUACAAGUGAUAAUCUAUUCUAAAUUAAUCUAAUUUACGGGAAAAUGAACUCGAAUUUUGGUGCAAGAAGUCGGACUUACUGCCCUGGCCAUCAUCCCUACAUUUACAGUUUCACCAUGGUCCCUUUAGAUCCUUAUCAUUUUCAUUUCAACAAUUUAAGCAUGUUCUUAAAAUCUCUUCAGCAAGUUGGCCAUGUUCUUAAACUUUUUCAUUCUCUAUUUCUCUGUAUACUGCAAAGUCGAUCAAUUAUGUUUCGUAAGUAGCAUAGUACCAAGUCUUUUUAUAUAAUGAGUUUGACAAGAAGACUUACGUGGGGUCAGCUGGCAACUCCCAAUUUUCCACGUGGGUGCACCCCUAAAGACUUCUGGUUUUAGCAACGGCACCCACCAUAAUAUUCAUUUACAAUGACCUGCCCAUAGGGUUCCAUGCAGUGGCGGUUCUACACAGGGGGCAGGCUGGGCUGCUGCCCGGCCCAAAAUUUUCCAUAAAAACAAAUAGGUAAAUGUGUUAGCCAAGCCAAAAAAAAAAAAAAAAAAAAACUCUACCUCCAACUAGUUGCCCAACCAGCCAUGGCCUACCCUUACCAAUUGGUGGCUGGGCAAGAAUACCCACCACUUGCUCGAUGAAAUACCUCAGUGAAGAAGGCAUAGCAACACCUUCCUUGCGAUGAGUUUUCUGAGUUGCAGAGGCGGCACUGUGUGCCUGGCAAAGAAGACCAUGUCUCGGUGCCCUUAUCAAUGAAACACACCGUUUUGUGACUAGCCUCCUUUAGUGAAACGGUGGGUUUACUGUUCAACACUUGGCUGCCUCUUUUCAUUGUCGAUGGGUUUAAGGGGCUAGUUUUGGUUUUAUCGGUUUUAUGAGGUUUGGCUUCAUGAUAAUGGGUGAAUUAUUUAAAGGGAGAUUCACUAUUAUACCUAAUAUAUGGGCUCAAAUUAUAAAAAUACCUUAUAUGAAAUGGACUUAGAAAUAUACUCAAAGCUCAUUUACAAUAUAACAAAAAAGCUUUUAACUUCUUAUAAAUUACAAAACUGCAAUCAAUUUUUUAAAACAAGCUCAACCCCAAAAUCUCAUAAAAAUACCCAAAACACUCAAUAGGGCAUCAAAGUAAUUUAAUAAUCAACAUUAAAUUCAAUAAGGUUAGCUGUUAUUUUUUGAGUUUUUUUUUUAUUUGUUUAUAGAAAUUCAAUUGUGUAGGGUUUAUUUAUAAUAUUAGUGCUAAAAAUGGAUAUAACACUAAAUAUCUCUUAUUUAAAAACUUUAUCCUAUGAGCCAAUAUAAUAUAAUAGAAGAUUAUCUAACAAACAAAAAAACUAUUUUAACAGUAAAUAUAAUAAACAUAUAGAAAUUUAUAUAUAUAUAUAUAUUUAACUAAUAUGUUAAUUCAAUAAUGCAAUGAUAAUUGAGAAAUUUAAGACUUUUAUAUGGUAAAAUUUCAAAUUUAAAUAGUGUUAAUAUGUAUUGUAUUGCACAGUCCUGAUCUCUUGGACCACAGGAGUCCAAGAGAUUGUGGUCACUCACCGUUGGAUAUCAAUCUAAUGGUUCAAAAAAGUUUCUUAAAAGGAGUUCAAGAUUGAGUGAACCGUUGAAUUUACAUCCAACGGUGAAUGACCACAAAUCUCUUGGACUCCUGUGGUCCAAGAGAUCGGGACUGUUGUAUUGCAUUGUAUUUACUUGUAAUUUUUUUUUAAAAGCUUUUAUUUAUGUAUAGAGAUGACUCAUUACAUUCCCAUGAGUAGAUGUAUCUUUUAGGGUUUAUUAAUGAAUUCACUCGUAAUCUCGAGUUUAAUAUGUAAGUUUUGCCUAGCCAAUUUUCAAAUCCUGAAUCCGCCACUGCACCCAUAGUAUAUCAUAUAAAUAUUGAGAGACUCCAGACAACUUGAACAAGAUUUGUGUUUUUUGGAUAUAUUUUGCAACAUAUUAGAUUGUUUUUUAAAUUGCUACCGGAUUGCAUGAACAUAUUAUCUUGAAUGAAAUCUCAGUUGCUUUUUACAGGGUUAAUUACAAUGAUACACUUUGAUUUCUCGUAUUUGUACAAAUUUUGAUGAUAUUUUGGAAGUUACACCGAGUCACUAACACCUAGGGCCUUUUGUAAAAAUACGAUAAAUCUUAAGAGGUGUACCUAUGCAAUUUGUCUCUAAAAGCAAAAUUUUCAUGUAGAGAACUUAUUUAGAGAACUUUGCUGCGGAUUUCGUCAAUUUUGAGAAGGAAUUUUGCUAUAUAAAAAAAGGUUAUGGGAAAACAAUCUAAAAUUUAGGUGGAUAUCUAAAUAAUUUAUUUUUAUUUGGAUCAUAUUUAUUGAUCAUAUUGUUGAUCACUUCUUUAAUAUAAAUAGGGCCACCUUUAUUUAAAAAAUGAUCGAUAAAUAUAGUACAAAUAAUAUUAUUAUUUAUGAAAAUAUGAAAAACCUUAUGAAGUGUGAAUGUAAUAAACAAGUGAGAUAUUAGCACUUAUAUUGAUCAUCAUAACUCAUUAUAAAUUUCUCUACAAAAAGACGAAGAAAUAACUAUAAAUAAUUAGAUUGAUUCUAUUUGGUUGUUUUUGAGACCACCAAAACUUUACCUAAUAAUAUUAAUAUUUACCGAAUAAUAUUAAUAUUCUCACUUUAUCCUCAUUAAUAUAAUAAGUUUCACUAACUUUCUAUAGUCAACAAGGAUAUUUAAAUAAUAUAGACUAGCUUCUCUGCACGCGUUUCCGCGCAUGCAAGAGGUUUUUUUAAAAAAAAUUUAAAUUUAUUUUAGAAUUAAAAAAGAUAAUGGAUAUUUGUGUUCCAUAAAAAUAUGAUCCAUUAUCUGAAUUUUCUUUUUUUUUUUAAUUUUUUAAUACGAAAAAUUAUGAAUUUACCAUAUUAUCCUCAUUUAAUUAAUAAUUUCAAUUCUUAAUGUUUGCAUUAACCAAGGACAUUUUCUGGUAUUUUAAAUGUUUCACCAUUCUCUGUCUUUUGCUUUAUAUAUAUAGAUAUAGUAAUAAUAAAUUAUCAAGAUAAAGGAAAAGGUAGUGGGCUUAUAUUUUUCAAUGGUUUUGCUCGUAUAUCUCUUUAGCAGACUACAAUUCCUCCAAUGUUUUUUUUCCUGAGAGUUUUUUGUGCUGAUAAUAUGUUGUAAAAUGAACGAGAUAUGCUAGAAUAUUGAGUGAUUUUUCUCUCUUGGAGAAUUUCUUUCUGCUCUCUUCUUCCUCUCCUCUCACUCUCCUCUCUUUCUUCCUUCCUCUCUGCCUGGACUCUCAUUUUCUUCUUUGAUCAGUUGGUGCUUCACUUCACUUGGACACAUAGCAGUGAAGAUAUGAAGCCUUUAGAGCACUUCCAUCCUAAAAAGGGUAAGGCAAGGUCUGUCACUAUUCACAUGAAUAGUGGUAGCCCUUGCCUUUUUUUUUUUUUUUCACCCCUAUGGGCAAGGGCAAAGACAAUUACUAUUUACUUUAAUUUAUUUUCUAUUUUUUAUACUUAAACAAUUAAUUUUGAUAAGAUUUUCGGUUGCCACAUGUCCAUAUAUAUUAAAAAAUUGACAUCUCACUCAUCAUAGCUACUUUCGAUAGGAUGUUUUGGUGGGUAAGUAUUAUUUUGAAAAUUCAAAAUUGUUUAAACAGACAAUGCACUACAGUUUUCGAAAAAUAUAUACUAACAAAUUGCCAUUCUAUGAUAUCAGGCUUACAUGCAAAGCUUUCAAGAGCCAUCUUGGCACAGGUUCCUGUAUGAACACUUACUUGAAAAACUCGGGAAAUGCAGUGUUCUUUUCUUCCCGAUUAUUUCAAAAGAAGAGUUCCACUUCACACUUCUCACAUUUCACAAAAAUGAACGAAAGUGGAGACACUACAAUCCACUUAGAUCGUUGGGACGUAGAAAGAAGAAAGGUGCAUUGACAUUGCUCGAAACUUUGUAAGUGGAAUGAAACUGUCUUAAUUUCUCAGCACAAACACAAACAGAAACUGCAUUGCAGUUUCUGUAUUAUACAUACUGCCUAAUUUCAGACCAAAACUAUAAUAUGCAAUGCACUGAUUACNNNNNNNNNNNNNNNNNNNNNNNNNNNNNNNNNNNNNNNNNNNNNNNNNNNNNNNNNNNNNNNNNNNNNNNNNNNNNNNNNNNNNNNNNNNNNNNNNNNNAAUAUAUAAGACCUCCAAGCACGAGUGUCAUAAAAACUAAAAAAAAACCAACACUUGUGAAGCAAAAGGAAGGGCCCCCGACACUUGUACAAAAAGAUUUGACUCCAACUGAAGAACUCACUCUCAAUUGGAUUAUGCAAAAUCCAUUACAGUUUCCAUUUGAGGAUGACAUGGAAUGUGCUCAACAAAGUGCAUCUUCGUAAGAAUUGUGUCUACUCAACUAUUCAUUACAGUUUGAAAUCAUUCAAAAGCAAAAAAAACUAAUCUCGUAUUUCAUUUGCAGAUUGGAUUGCGGCAUGUUCGUCAUGUUUUAUAUGGAUAAAAUAGCACAAGGACAGCCCAUUCCAAAAAGCGUGGACAAAAAAUUCAUGAAUGAAUAUCGAGCACAAUAUGUCACAAAACUCCUACACCACAAAAACUGUGUAAUUAAUCGUCUCUAGUGAUUUGCCUUUCGUUAACUCAAGACAAUAUGUAUCUUAAUUCUUGUGGAUGUUUGUAAAUAUUUCUAGUUAUAGUAUAUGAGAACAUAUUUCCUAUACAUAUAAACUGUAAUAUAAUCUUGGAACAGGAUGCAACAAAACGAAAAGGAAACAAACAAACUGCACUGAAUUUUCUGGUCAAAAAUACUGCAACAAAUUAAAACUGCAGUGCAGUUUAUAUAAAUAAAUAAAAAUAAAAAAUCAGCUCAAAAAAUGUGAAAAGAACCCAAAAGCCAAAGCCAUAAUCAAAGUACUAAAACUUUGUUCAAAACACAUUUAAGUAGGUCAGCAUCGAAAUGUAGUUUCUGCUCAUAAUCUGCAACAAAUAAACAGAAACUGCACUGCAGUUUCUGCAACAAAAUCUGCUCAAAAUCUGAAAACAAGCAUUGAAUGGCAGUCGAAAACGAAUAUCCACUCAUUAAACAAUUGUAUAAUUUUCAUUAACUUCAAAAAAGAAUCACAAUAUCCAAUUAGAAGCUGUGUAGCCAAUUACAAGCAACUAAAACUGCAAUACAAUUUUUGCAAAAAGUGCAACGCAGAAACUGACUAUACAUUCGCUAAACCAUAUCUAAAAUAAAAAAUUGUCGAAUGAGUAGGAGUGUUCAUAUAAUAGCCUUGCAAGUCUUCCUAUUGUGCCCAGCAACACUGCACCGACUGCAUUUCAAUGGCCUUUUAAAUUCACCAAAAACUUUGAUCCUCUUUAUUGGUGGUCUUCCGGCUGGCCUCUUUGUAAUUGGCGGAAGCACAACUCCAGCUGCAGAACCAUUGCUGCCCAAUCCUUUCCCAAUAUCUGGAAUAGGAAAAAUAGGACUCUCAUAGGCUUUCGAAAGAAGUCGGUUUUGUAGUAACACUCCACGUAAUCAUAAACUGAAUCUCUCUUUGCUAGGAUUGCAGCCACCGCAUGUGUGCAAAGAAAACCGUCAAUUUGCCAAAGACGGCAAGAACAAGUCAUUUGCUCGAUAUCAACCAUCACAGAAUAAUUAGCAAAUACUUCAAAAACAGUGCAAUUAGAACAACGAACUGCCCAAGUCCUACCGGCCUCCGCAUUUUCACAGAGUCUAGUUUCCAUCUCCGGACACAAAACUGUUGUCCACUUCUCCGCUUCAAUUAGUCGUUGAGAAUUCAAUACCAUCAAUUUCUGUCGAAUCCCUUCUAUCAAAGGUAGCACCGGCAAAUCUGGAAACACACCAACCCAAUUAUUAAAGGACUCCGCUAAACUGCUUGCCAUCUCCCCAUAACGCAUUCCUUUGAAAAAUGCGUUAGCAUAGUGAUCUCUAAACAAAUCAGAUAUAAAUGCCUUCACUUUCGAACUCCCAACAAUCACCAACUCCUCCAUUGCUACCUUAAACUCUUCCUCCGUAACAGCAUAUGCGCAUCUACUAAAUAAAUUGAUAACACGGUCUUGGAGCAGUUUCUCAUAACCUGACUUCGGGUACUUUGAUAUCAAAUUCUGUUUGAGGUAAUAAUAACAGUAAGAAUGAGGCCAUCCGGAAAACACAAACCCCAUUGCAUUUAACAAACCUUGAUUGCGGUCCGAGAAAAAGGUCACCACUCUCCCCAUCGUUAGCAAUAUAGAAGCCAAAUGUUGAAGAAACCAAGUCCAAUUCUCCUCUAUCUCAGAAUCAACAACUCCAAAAGCUAGAGGAUAAAACUCUGCAAAACAAAACCAAAAGCACAAGUAUAAGCAAAAAAGGGAAACUGCAGUGCAGUUUAUGAAAACAAAUCUGCUCAAAUUUGAAAGGAAACCAAAAGCCAAAUCCAUGAUCCAAGUACUAAAACUAAGUUUAAACCACAUUUAAGUUCAUGAGCAGUGUGGGGGUCUUUUUCUUCCGGCAGCUGCAAAUGGGCUGGGCUGCCGUAAAAGGGAAAUUACUGAAAUUGCCCCCUGUGCCUGAGUUCGAAAAUUAAGCCCCAAAAGCACUUCGAAAGGGCAGUAAAGCCUUAGGAAGUGUUCUGGUUACCUUCACCAAUGAAAAUGAUGGCUGCUUACAGGUGAUUUAUGCUUGCUUACAGAUAAAGUUUUAGCUUAGCAUGAGGAGAUUGUGGCAUGGGAGCAAGGUCAGCAUGAGUUGAGCACCAAAGAGGAAAAUAAGGCUUCCUAGGGAGAAAUGGGAGUGUUUAAGAUGAGGGAGACAAGGUUUGCAGGAUGAUCUUGGCUAAAAAGGGGUAAAGGAAGGGCAUUACUUCUUCCGGCAGCUUGACAGACUCUGAAAAUAGUCUGUUAACAGAGAAGAACGAAGAAGAAGAGUGAAUAGGGCUACUGGAUUUUUGCAAGUAAGAGAGGGAGCUUGCUCUCUCAGCCUGGGUUGGUUUUUGCUAGGUGGAGGGGACCUCCUUUUAUAGCUGCGGUAAACCUUCAUUCCCCAAGAAACCCUAAUGGUUUCUUCCCCAACUUAGCAAGGUUUUCCUUCCCUUUUCCUUUCCUCUCUUGACUUUUCCUGUUUUAGUGAGAUUUUUCUCUAUCUAUUUGCACAAAAUCAGGAAUUUUGGAGCUCAAGGCCUCCUUUCCUGCGGCUGCUUCAGUAGAAGAUUUCUACUUCCAGCCAUUUUCUUCCUUUCUUUCUCACUCUUUCCUAUAACCAGUUUUGAUAGGGAAGGAGUUGGGAUGUGUAUGUUGGUUUGAAAAGUGUCUCUCUUCCUGGUAGCUUGCAUGUUAACAUCCCUUGGUUUCUCUGGUGUUUUGUUUUGGAACUUGAUCCAUUCCCAUGUGCUGGCACUUCCCAGCAGCCUUAUUCAAUGAACUUUCAAACUUCCUUUUCGUGGCUUCUAUUCCAGCUAGGUGCUGGAGCUUGUGAUUCAUCUAUGGCAAUUGUAUGGGCCAAGGUUCACUAAGUAAAUGGGCUAUUUUUGUUGAAUGAUGGGCUUCUUGGUUGGGCUAUUCUUUGAUUGGGCUAAUUUUGGUUGAGUUAUUUUGGUUGGGUUAUUUUCCCUUUUUGCUCACCCAUAUAUUUGGGCUUAAGAAAUGGGCUUGGGUUCCGAGGCUCCCAAGCAACCUGGAACCUCCAUUUCUCGUCCCAUCAAUGGGCCUCAUGACGACCUAUUACCUUCCAUACCACAACCCACUCAAGCAAGCCCCGGGCAUCUUGCGUGGCUUGGGCCCACUUAAGCUUGUAGCAUGGCGCGUUGUUUAUUUGCUUGGCGUGGUAUGUGUACAAGCGCAUAUGGCGAACUUUCGCGUGCCUAAAUUGGGUUUCUUCUCGGUAAGGUAUUGCAUUGGGCUGAGCAUUUAUUUGGGCCGAAGCGUGGAUUUUUUUGGGCCUCAACAAGCAGUUACAACAUUCCCACAGACAUGCAAAAAAUAUUAAUAAAAUCGAAUUAUGAAACAAGAAACUGCAAUGCAGUUUCUGCUAAAAAUUGCAACAAAUGAAAAUCUGCAAUACAUUACAGUAACCAUACCUUGAUUUCCAUUCUUUCCCAAAGCACAGAGAAGCUGCCCCUUGUACUUGCUCUUCAAAAACGUAGCAUCAAUGAACAACAAGGGUAUGCAAUAUUGAAAUCCAGCAAUGCAACCGCCAAAAGACACAAAAAAAACCGUUAAAAGCGAUUAAUUCCAGCUUCACAAUCAAGAGUGCAGAGAGAACCAGUGUUAGUUUCCUUUACGGCGUCCGCAUACCACACUAACUCGUUGAAGAACUUCGACUCAUCACCGUGAACAUCCAAUUUAGCUAACUCUUUGCCAAACCAUGCGUGGUAGUAUGAAAUGUCUAUACCAUAAUAAUCUUUGAACUCGUGUAUAAUCUCAAUUGGCUUCAGCUCUGGUUUUGCACGAAUUCUGUCCACAAUGAGGGAGGACACCACACGAGACCUCAUCAUCUUACUCUUUGAUUCCCGUAUCCGACCCGCACAUGUAUGAACAUUAUUUAACGUCCGAAUUACAAAACUGCCAGUAGCUUCACAACGAGAAGCAUAAACACGCCAGCUGCAACCCUCCAAUUUCUUAUUCGAACAAACAGCAACCACCCGCUUCUUGUCAUUGCCGGCAUAUAAAAAAUUAAAUCCUACUUCAAGAGCGUACUUGCACAAUUUCAACCGGAACUCCUCUGCACCACCGUCAAACUUCUGCCCCACAUGAUGUAUGUAUGUCUCCCACUCAUUCGACAACAAAGGCUUAGCACUUGCUUUCUUCGACCUGCCCAAAAACUCGUUUCUGUCUUCGACAGUACUAGAACACGACGACUCGCCCUUUUCACAUGCUAUCAACUCCUUAUUUACAUAAAAAUCACCACUAUAUUCACUGCUCCCGCAUAAAUCAUUCACUAAAAUAUCAACAGUCUUCUCAUUUGAUAUCAACAAAAAUGUCCUCAUCAAGUCUAAAUCGCUAUCCGUUUCUAGAAAACAACUCGGAUAACUGGGCACCGAAUACCGUAAUGUGAAACAACCCAACUGCAAACCCCUAAACCUCAGACACAAAGUCUUCAAAAUAUCAACCAUGGAUGACUCUGAUGAAACUGAAAACAUGAUGGUUUCCGACUUAUAUGUGCACUUGGCAAUGACACACACCUCCAUUAGCCUUGAAAAUACAAACAAAACAACAAACAAAAACAGAAAACAAUUAAAAUCACUAAAUAAUGUACAUGAGCAGUUGUAACAUUCCAAUAGAAAUCCAAAUAUUAGUAUGAAAUCGAAUUAUGAAACAAGAAACUGCACUGCAGUUUAUAGUCAAAAACUGAAAUAACAGAAACAACAUUGCACUUUAUGUGAUAACAUACCCUUAAAUUUGAAUAGAAACCAAAAGAAAACCAUGUUCAAAGUACUAAAACUUAGAUAAAAACACAUUUAACUCCAUGAGCAGUUGUAACAUUGCUUUUAUGAAUGCCAACACUCCAACAAACAAAUGCAGUUUAUAACAGAGGAGGCAAAACAAAUCAAAUAGAAACCAAAAGGAAACCACGUUAAAAGUACUAAAACUAAUAUCAAAACACAUUUAACUCCAUGAGCAGUUGUAACAUUGCCUUUAUGAAACCAGAAACUGCAAUGCAGUUUCUGCCAACACUCCAACAAACAGAUGCAGUUUAUAACAGAGGAGGCAAAAAAAAUCGAGCCACAAAAAUGAGCUACAAGAUCGCGCCACAAAAUCGAGCCACAAAACUGAGCUCGAAAAACCCAAAACUGACAGAUUCGACAUGAUAAUCGAACGAAAGAUUAUCCAAUUAGAAGGAAACAAACAAACUGCACUGAAUUUUGGAACAGGAUGCGGCAUGAUAAUCGAACGAAAAAGAUUCGGCAUGAUAAUCGAACAAAAAAACUGACAGAUUCAGCAUGAUAAUCGAACGAAAAAGGAAGAAAUAAAAGGAAAACCAACCAGAAAAUUGAGCUCCAACGGCGAGAACGAAAACGAAAACGAACGAAAUCUGCCUGCCAAACAAACGAGGACGAAAACGAAACAGAGAAGAACAGGCUCGCGCCUUGUUUAAACAUUCAGGGGCAAAAGCGUCAUUUACUUUGUAGAUUUACAAAUGGGCCAGGCUUUUUAAGAAGAAUGGUAGAAUUGUCUUAUCAGUUGUUAUUUUUUACCUGGCCCAACGAAUCUGGGCCUCUCUUUGGGCUAAUCCAAAAUAGUAGUUUUUUCCUAGGUAUUAAAACUAAAACCAAAAUAUCUAAUAUCUUACAAACUAAUUAAUAAAGUUAAUUAUGUCUAAAACCUAAUUUUUCUUAAAUCUUAAGAGCUGUCCCUAUGCAAUUUAUCUCUAAAAGCAAAAUUUUCAUGUUGAGAACUAAUUUAGAGAACUUUAUGUGGAUUUCAUCAAUUUUGAGAAGAAAGUUUGAUUUAAAAAAAAAAAAGGUUAUGUGAAAACAAUAUAAAAUUUCGGUGAAUAUCUAAAUAAUUUAUUGCUAUGUGGAUCAUAUUUAUUGAUCAUAUUGUUGAUCACUUCUUUAAUAUAGGUAGGACCACCGCUAUUAAAAAUAUGGUACAAAUAAUGUUAUUAUUUAUGAAAAUAUGAAAAACCUUAUGAAGUGUGAAUGUAAUAAACAAGUGAGAUAUUAGCACUUAUAUUGAUCAUCAUAACUCAUUAUAAAUUUCUCUACAAAAAGACGAAGAAAUAACUAUAAAUAAUUAGAUUGAUUCUAUUUGGUUGCUUUUGAGACCCCACCAAAACUUUACCUAAUAAUAUUAAUAUUCUCACUUUAUCCUUAUUAAUAUAAUACGACAAAUGAACAUCAAAUUCAAAGAUAAAGACAAUGACCAACUGUUGUUCAGCGGGGUCAGCAGAAAAAUAAAAGAAACCGCGGAUCGAGCUGGCAUAAUCGCCAUCUUUGACAAACGUGGCUUCUUCACUUCGAACUCAUAGACUUUUGUAUUUUGGUCAAAAAUGUUCUAACACCUCAAAAAACUAUAAAUUGGUGGCAUGCCCUCCCUCUUCUUCAACCAUCAGUUUCAUUUCGCAUUGAUUUACAAAUCAACAUCCAACAAAGCCAGCAACAAUGGCUUCCUCAUUUCAUUGCCUUCUCUUUUGCUCACUGGUCCUCCAAAUCAUCACCACCACCCCCUCACUAGCCAAAGCUGCAUCUUUUAGACCCAAGGCCCUUGUUCUUCCAGUCACCAAAGACCCUUCCACACUCCAAUACCUCACCACCUUAAGCCAAAGAACCCCUCUUGUCCCCAUAAAACUCACUGUCGAUCUUGGCGGUCAAUACCUUUGGGUUGACUGCGAAGAAGGCUACGUCUCAUCCACCUACAAGCCUGCUCGUUGCAACUCUGCUCAGUGCUCAUUGUCAAACUCCAAGGCUUGUACGACAGAGUGCUACUCUUCCCCCAAGCCAGGCUGCAACAACAACACAUGCAGUCUCUCCCCCGAUAACACCGUCACUAGAACCGGCACGAGCGGUGACCUUGGCCAGGACAUUGUGUCACUCCAAUCCACAGAUGGGUUUACUCCUGGUAGGGUUGUUUCUGUCCCCAAUUUGCUCUUCACUUGCGGUUCCACUUUUCUGUUGGAUGGCCUGGCCAAUGGUGUCAAGGGCAUGGCUGGCCUUGGCAGGGCUAAAAUUGGGCUUCCUUCCCAAUUUGCUUCCGCUUUUAGCUUCCAUCGAAAAUUCGCAAUUUGCUUGACCUCUUCAACAAAUUCUAAUGGUAUUGUCAUCUUCGGGGACGGGCCUUAUAGUCUGCUUCCCGGAAUUGAUGUCUCCGAGCAACUUAUUUUCACCCCAUUGAUCCUCAACCCUGUUAGCACUGCAAGUGCUUACUUCCAAGGAGAGCCUUCUACAGAAUACUUCAUCAAUGUGAAGUCAAUCAAGAUCAACGACAAGGCCGUUGCUUUGAACACUUCAUUGCUGAAAAUUGACAGUGAAGGGUAUGGCGGCACAAAGAUUAGCACUGUGAAUCCAUACACAGUCUUGGAGACCUCAAUCUACAACGCCGUGGUCGAUGCAUUUGUGAAAACAGUUGCUGAAAUCCCAAGAGUGAAGGCAGUAGCACCAUUUGGAGCAUGCUUCGAUUCAAAGAACAUUGGAAGCACAAGGGUUGGGCCUGCAGUGCCUGCUAUUGACCUAGUGUUGCAGAGUGAGAGUGUGUACUGGAGGGUGUUUGGAGCAAAUUCGAUGGUGGCGGUGAGCGAUGACGUGUUGUGUUUGGGGUUUGUGGAUGGAGGUGAGAGGCCAAGGACUUCAAUUGUGAUCGGAGGGCAUCAGUUGGAGGACAAUCUUCUGCAGUUUGAUUUGGCUGCUUCUAGGCUUGGGUUCAGCUCCUCACUGUUCUUCAGACGAACAACUUGUGCCAACUUCAACUUCACAUCUACUGCUUAGAGACAAAAGGUCUUCUUAAUUAUUCAAUUUCUGUAAUUUAUUUCUCUUUUGCAUGGUGAAUAAAUGUUCCUAAUUGCUUUUUAUCCAAUAUAUAUACGAUGCAGACAAUUACAAUUACACACUUGUUAGGAUAAUUAUUGUCUGAUACUGGACCCUUUGUAUUCUAUCUUUUCUCAAUAAUGAAUUUCAGUUGACAAAUUCAAUGGUUUAGGAAAUAACUAAUGAUAUAAUUAAAUAAUAAUAAAAAGGACGACUAACAUGAAAUUCAAAGUCAAAGAGACAAAAAUAGUAAGAAAGGGUUCAGCUGGCAUAUACAUUCUCAAGUUGCCAUCCUAAACCAUAUUCUAGUUUUAGACUCCCCGCCCAGCCGAAGAGCCAUGCUUACAUAAUAUUCAUUUAUAAAUAACCCGCCAACCGACAGCCCAAUCUUUUUUCAGAUAAAGAGAAUAUUCAGACGCAGGCAUUAAGACGUCAGUCACAAAAGAGCCAAUACAAAUACAAAUAACUAUACAAGAGCCCAGUAUUCUAUAAUUUCAACAAUAUGAAGCACAGCUUCAAUGGAACUGAUGAACAAAAACCAAAACUGAUAAUUAACCUACUAAUUAACCACUCAACACAUGACACCUGCCCACUAUGUGCAACUUUAAAACUCUUUGACUUGACUCAAUAUCAAAGACUUUGAGCUAGCUGCUGCUAAUGCCUUGAACUUAUGCUAUAGCUUUUGAACAGAGGAUUAUUUGACUUUGUGCUGCAACAUGCGUGAGAUGAUAUAUAUUAGGACUUUUAUUUAUUUAUUAAGAGUUGAAAAACCUAUAAAUUGACAGGCCUCCUCCUCCCACUUCGUCAAUCUUAUAACUUCCAUUGAUUAUUGAGUUCACACAUAAGUUAACAAUGGCUUCCUCAUCUAUUCAUAGCCUACUUCUCUUUUGCUCCCUUCUACUCUCGAUCCACAUGAUCCUCUCAUCACAAGCUAAACAAUCAUCACUCAAACCCAAAGCCCUAGUUCUUCCCAUAGCCAAAGACGCUUCUACCCUCCAAUACAUCACCACCAUCAAGCAAAGAACCCCACCGGUAACCCUAAAGCUAACCAUUGACCUCGGCGGUCAAUUCCUCUGGGUUGACUGCGACGAAGGCCAGUACAUCUCGUCCACCUACAAGCCUGCCUACUGCAACGCAACACAAUGCUCCAUUGCAAACUCCAAAGAAUGCAACUGGGAAUGCUUCUUCCCCCAAAGGCCAGGCUGCAACAACCGCACCUGCAUCCUCUUCCCAGACAACACCGUGAUUGGCUCUGCCGACAACAAUGGAGAGGUUGGUCAGGACAUCCUGUGGGGCCUACAUUCCACAGAUGGGUCCCACCCCGGCCCAAAGGUCUCUAACAUUCCAAACUUCAUCUUCGCUUGUAGUAGCAAUACAUUUUACGGUGUCCUUGGCCUUGCCAAUGGUGUCAAGGGCAUGGCUGGUCUAGGCAGAACCAGAAUCGCUCUCCCAACCCAGUUUGCCUCCGCUUAUAAACUCCCUAGAAAAUUCGCCAUUUGCUUGCCUUCUUCGGCUAGAUCAUACGGUGUUGUUUUCUUCGGGGAUGGGCCGUAUGUUCUGACUCCCAAGAUUGAUGUGUAUAAGUCGUUGACUUUCACCAAGUUGAUCCUCAACCCCGUCAGCACAGGCAAUGCUUUUGAUCCGGAUGAGCCUUCUGCCGAAUAUUUCAUAAAUGUGAAGUCAAUCAAAGUCAACGAAAAAAUCGUGUCACUAAAUACUUCUUUGCUAGCGAUUGAUCAAAAUGGUUAUGGUGGCACAAAAAUCAGCACCGUCAAUCCUUACACCGUCUUGGAGAGCACAAUCUACAAAGCUUUUGUUGAUGCGUUUGUGAAAGAAAUGCCUGGUCAUAGUAAGAGAGUGGCUUCUGUAGAGCCUUUUGGAGCUUGCUUUGACUCCACCCACAUUGGAAUUACACGUGUGGGCCCGGCUGUUCCUAGCAUUGACUUUGUGUUGCAAAGUGAGGGUGUGUACUGGAGGGUGUCUGGAGGAAAUUCCAUGGUGCAAGUGAGCAAGGAUGUGUUGUGUUUGGGGUUUGUGGGUGCUGAGCAAAGGCAACGCUACUCAUUUGAGAGCCCAACGACGUCGAUUGUGAUCGGAGGGCAUCAGUUGGAGGACAAUCUUCUUCAGUUUGAUCUGGCUAACAAGAGGCUUGGGUUCAGCUCAUCACUUUUGUCUCGGGAGACAAGUUGUGCUAACUUCAACUUCACAUCUACUGCUGUGAUUUAAUUAUUGUCUUUAUAUUGUUUUUUUUUUUUGGUUUGUUUAAUAAGUUAAUAAUUAACCAAGUGAAAACCUCAUGUAGGGUGUUUGUUUCUCAAUGUCUUUGGUUCGCCAAUUGCAAUGAAAAACUUACCACACUUUUAACUUGCAAGAAAUUGUUCGAUGAAAAUGUAGGUGACUUAACGGUUCAUAUGAAUGGAUGUAUGUAUAUAUAUAUAUAUAUAUAUUUUUGAAUAACAAAUAUAGAUCAUUAAAACAAAUUCUACAUUUUGGAUAUCAAAUUAUGUGAGGUGAUUUGUUUCUUCAUAUUGGGUCUCAAAUAGUUUAUUUUUAGAAAAUAAUGCUAAAAUAUGAAACUUAUGAGAGAAUAUUGUUUAAAUUUGUGUAAAUUUUCUAUGUAUUCUUCUCCUUGAAUGCCAAAGAAAGUAAUAACUUCUAGGGGUUCUUUGAUCUAAGUCCAAAAUCUCUAGUCGUCAUUGGAUUUAGUCCACACCUUUUUUAGCUGUAAAUUUGUGUCCGUUGACUUUUAUUAAUUUUUUCUUGUGUCAAUUUUACCCUUUGAGGUAAAUAAAAAAAUAACAUUAAUUGAAAAUCCAAAUUAAUGUAUUGAUUCUUUCCUUCUAAAUGGAUUUCAUAUUUUAAAUUUUAAAUUUCUUUAUUGCUGCCAUGAAACAUCUGUACAACAACAAAAAAACGUUUCGUCAAGUAAAAUACUUUAACAAUUAACUAUUGCAAUAUUUACCUAAUAAAUAGAUAAAGUACAAUUUAAGUCAUGAAAGUAAUGACCCACAUAUUUUAUCUUACAAUGAAACUUAAGACCCAUAGGCAAGCACCAACAUAAAACUGUACCUAUCCAUAAGGUUGAUUUGUGAGGUUUCAAGCAUAAGAACAAAUAUAAAAAGUUCAUAUAAAACAAUGAAAGUAGGAGUAUUAUUGAUGAGGUCUUCCCAACAAAUAUUUACUUGAUUACUUGGUAAAUAUGAGAUAAUAUAACUAAUUAUUAGGUAAAUAUAAGAUAAUGUACCUAAUUAUUAGGUAAAUAUAAGAUAAUAUACCUAAAUAUAAGGUAAAUAUAAGAUAAUGUACCUCAUUACUAGGUAAAUAUAAGAUAAUAUACCUAAUUAUUAGGGUAGACAAUAUCAUAAUUAUUAUCAUAAAAAUUAAUUUCUUACCUUAUUUAAUUUUUAGGGGCAUGACGGGAAUAACUAAGUAAUUUAAAAAUGAAAAAAAUAAUAUGAAAAUAUCAAAUAAUGAAAAAAGGAAUGUAAUCAUAUGUGGCACAAAAGUCAAAGGACUUGUAUCAACAACAACAACUACGAGGAUGGCAUCCAAAUUCUGUUUUCGAUUUUGGACUUAUACUGAAUUUUUUAUAACUUCUAAUUCUCUUUACAGAAGAAAUCAAUUACAAUUAAUAUAGGAAUCCUUAGUGUGCAAGGAAAGUCACAAGUCACGCCAACAAAUAAAGCAUCAUAAUAUCUAUAAAGUAUAAACUAAUGCAACUAGGAGGGUCAUUUAUCUUAAUUUUUUACUUAGCACUCAGAAGAAACAGAAAACUCUCUGCAUUCUUCACCCUACUUUGGAAGAGCCACCAAGCACAACAAAUACUGAUGUAGAACAGAUGACAGAUUUUAUCGCGGUUGAGCUAGAAAAAGGACGUAGCGGAAAUUUGCAGAUUUGUUGUCCGAGCUCCGAUUAGGACGCAAAAUACCAUUUCAGAAAGGGAACGACGCCACGAGUCAAACUCACGACUUUGCCGUGAUGUACGAUGGAUUUUGGCAUUCUGAGGCCGUUUGGCCUUCCAAAACUGCAGUCAAAGUUUCGUAGUUAAUUCUCCGAAUAAAUUCUGUUUUUCAGUUUCGUAGUUAAUUCUCCGAAUAAAUUCUGUUUUUUUUUCAGUUUCGGAGUUACGUAGUUAAGUCUCCAAAUUAAUUCUGUUUUUUCAGUUUUAAUGUAAUAACUCCCCUAGCAGUUCAAGGGUUGAGCGUUGUGUAUUUAGACAGGUUUGUCUGACGUUUCUGAUUACCUCAGAUUUUAGUAAAAUUAUCCCAAGAGAAUUCCUCUUAAUUUCUGGUGGAAUCCAGAUUUCUUGUUACUCAAAGUUUCGCUUGAAACCUUUGUUGCUUGUGCUACGUCAAGUGGUAUCAGAGCGGGUUUCUCCCGUCUCGGCAUUCUUGUCUUGACUUAUCAUGGGUGAUUGAGAAGCUGAUGUCCCAGCCCCAAUUACCCGAGCGGAUCUGGACGCUCAAAACCAACGGAUCGACAACCUAACCAACCAAUUUGGGGAGAUGCGAGAAUUGUUGUUGCAAGCUCUUGGUGGCAACAAUAGAAGAGGUGGCAGAGAUGACGAAAGAAAGACAAGACUUGGCGAAUGUGUGUUGAUAGCCGAGCAAUCAACAAGAUAACAGUCAAGUACAGGUUUCCCAUUCCACGGUUGGAGGAUAUGCUGGAUGUUCUUAGCGGCUCAAUGGUGUUUUCCAAGAUAGAUUUGCGAAGCGGUUACCACCAGAUUCGCAUCAGACCUGGCGACGAAUGGAAAACAGCGUUCAAGAGCAAGGACGGAUUAUUUGAAUGGUUGGUGAUGCCAUUCGGAUUGUCAAAUGCGCCUAGCACUUUCAUGAGACUCAUGAAUCAGGUUCUACGACCAUUUAUUGGCUCUUUUGUCAUAGUUUAUUUCGAUGACAUUUUAAUUGAGACAAGUUUUAGAUGUUUUGAGAGAAAAUAAACUGUAUGUGAACCUAAAAAAAUGUACUUUCUGUACAAAUAAGCAAUGGCAUUGAUUUCUUCAUCCCUAAUAUUCCUCUAAUUCUAAUUCUAAUUCAGCACUAUAUAUAUAUAUAUAUAUAUAUUCUUUCCUUUUUUGCAUGCUUGGGCACUAAGGAAUUAUAAUAAAUAAUAAAAUUUAUUUAAAAAAAUAUUGAAAAAAAAGAGAUAAUUAUAACAUAAAUUUUCUAGCAAAUGAAGAAGAAAAAAAUUGGAAAGGAGAGACUGGGAGAUGAACAAUAUAGUAAUUUCAUUCCAAUUUCCAAAAUAUCAAACAACAAAGAUUAUAAAUUAGCAAAUUACCCCACUACCCUUUGCAUUAGUUGGCAAGUACAAAGCUGGCCAUUUGGGGCUUGUUUGGUAGGCCUCACUGGGCUGGACUGGGUUAUAUAACACUUGAAACCCAUGUUUGGUAAAAAAAAGGUACUAAGUUAAAUGGGAUUGUAUAGGACAACAGUGAAAAAAACACCUCACUCGUUAUUCUAAUAUUGCGAGGCUGAAAAGGGGUUCGCAAAAUAACACCCACUCUAUAUAGAACAAGCGAGUCCUGAGUCCUCUUUCUCUCUCGUUUCCUUCAGCAUCGCCUCUCCUCUCUCUCUUGUUUCCUACUAAGGCAAGUUUUCUGGCCUUCUCUGGAGAUGACCCAUAACUCCUAUACCAGCCUCCAUAACUUCUGGCCUUCUCUGGAGAUGACCCACUCCGACUCCAAGGACAGCCUUCACCACAGUAAGAUCCUUAGCUUGAAUCAAACUGCUCAACGCGACCUCCACCAUAGCCUCCCUCCACCGUCACCACCCAAUCUAUCAAACCGUAACAGCCACCACUGACCCAAUUGAACAAGUCGAGAGUUAUUGUGGUGGUUUGAAUUAUGUGUUUCAGUGUGAUUUUGUUGCUAUUUUCACAUGGGUUAUAUAAAACCAAGCAGCACUAACACUCAUGGGAGGAAAGGAUGUAUGAAGAGAGAUGAGAGAGUGAAAAAAUAAGGGACGCAUGUGGGUGGUAGGGAGUCUGAGUUGGGAGAAGAAAAGUCAAGAAGAAGGUGGAAGGAAAAGUGUGCUAACAUUUUUUUUUAUAAUCUUGUUUUAAUUAAACAUUAGUUUCAGAUAAUUUUAGGUUUCCUUUUAUAAUAAACAUUAAAAUAUUAAUGAAAAAAUAAAAAUUGAAAAGAAAUGACACUUCAUUGUUUAUUUUAUUCUCAUAUCCUACUACAAUCUGUAUUUAUUUUGGGAAAAAAAAAAAUUGUAUGUAUAAAAAAUAAAAAUAAAUAAAAAACUAUUAUUAGAUGCAUACUUGUUCAGUUUAUCAAUUAACCAAUAAAAUUCAACUUUUUUUCUCUAUCAUUUUCACUUAUUAUUAAAGAUAAUUCUAGACUUUUUUUUCUCUAUUUUGGGACUACCUAAGCUAAAACCCUUUUUUUUUUAAUUAUAAUAAAUAAAUAAAAACCCAAGUUAAACCUUGGGUUUUUAAAAGAGGGAUUUUUUUUUUCUUAUAAUUUUCUUUGGUAAUUCAUAUUUAUAUUUAUACAUCACAACAACACCUAAUAAAAUUUUUGGUGUCUGCCUGAGUAAUUAGAAAUAAUUAGAAAAAAUUAUUUUUUAGUCCGACACAGUACCAAACAUAGGUCUUCACUAUUUUUAUAAUUCAGCUUCUUAGUCCGACGCAACACCAAAUGUAGGUCAGUACUUAAUCCAGCUUAGGCCAAUCUGAACUAAUCCAAGACAGUCCCAGAAUUUAGUCCAGUCUAUGACAGUCUGCCGUACCAAACGACCCCUUGUUGGCCUAAUAUUAUCCGAGAUGUGAAAGAAAAGCUGAAAGCUGAAAGCUGAUUGUGUAAGAAAUAGUUUUCCCUUGGCCCAAAUAAAAAUACCACAUUGCUCCUUUAACCCAAAAAAUCAAAAGCGUUGCAAAUGGUUUUAUAAGCCCAUCACCGAUGGCCAAGUUGUUUCGCGUUAUCAGCAAACAUGUUGUCCCAAAUGUCGAUGUUGGAGAGGUCGGUGUUCCCAUUUCCUUUUGGGAAAAAAGUACGAAAAAUUUGAUGGGGAAAAGUAAAACAGAAAGCAACCAGAAUUGUAGAUUCUGGGGCAAAAAUGGUUAAACUUUUAGAGGUGACAUUGGUAACAAGCACAAACUAGUCCACUUUUUUUAAGAGCAACACAAGAAUUGUGUUGAAGACCCAAAUUUCUAUUUCCAAACGAACCUCCAGAGCCCUUUAAAAAGAGUCAAAACUGCAUGCACAACAAACUUCUCCUUGUAAAUGCAGCUUUAUUGAGUACAUGUUCUUUGCACCUCUAGCUUUUUCAAGGCCAAUAAAGACUCGGUUCAAAACUUUUUUAUCUGCAAAUAACUUUGUAGCUUGAUCAUGAAAGCCUUUUCUAAAGAUGAAAUUUCUGUUCCAUCUCCUCAAACUUCAAACUGCACAUCAACUAGUGACCAUUCUAAUAAAGAUGAUCAAGAAAUGGGCUCUAAUGCAAUGUCGGAUGAGGGAGAGGUCUCGAACAACUCAGCCUUCUUCUGUUUCCCAUUCCACAUGGAUCUAAAUCUCGUUCGCGCGGUGAGAAACGAUCGAACCUUUCAACUUUCUUGAUGAGCUUUGUGAUGUAAUAUUCUUAACAAUAACAAAAACUACUGCUGCAACAACGUACCCAUAUAGGUUAACAAAACAUUUUACGACCCCUUGUACUCUAAUAAAUAUGUUAAGCAGGUUUUUGCAGAGAUGGUGGGGACUUUUAUGUUGAUGUUCUGUGUAUGUGGGAUCAUAGCAAGCACACAGCUGAUGAGAGGGGAAGUUGGUCUUAUGGAGUAUGCAGCCACAGCAGGUUUAACUGUAGUUGUUGUUAUUUUCUCCAUAGGCUCAAUUUCUGGUGCUCAUGUCAACCCAGCUGUCACAGUAGCAUUUGCAACCCUUGGUCAUUUCCCAUGGUGCAGGGUACUUAAACCAUUCAACCCUAAUGAAAUUCUCAGCUCUAAUUAUAUUUAAUUAGGGUGUUUAAGCAGCAGAUUAAUGUUGUUCCUGUUCCCUAUUAUUUCCAAAGGUUCCUGUUUACAUAUUGGCUCAAACAAUGGGUUCUGUUCUGGCAACAUACAUUGGGAGGCUUGUCUAUGGCAUAAAACCAGAUCUCAUGACCACCAGACCACUUCAAAGCCCUGCCGCUGCCUUCUGCGUUGAGCUUAUUGCAACUUUCAUGAUUAUGUUCCUAGCUGCUUCAUUGACACAUCAAGCUCAUGCUGUAAGGAAAAAAUUUCCAUCUUUUUUUUUAUUUCACUUGGGGUUCUUACUGUUACCUAACAUGGUAUCAGAGUUUCGGGUCGAAAUGUCCAAUCUCAUACCCAACUUCUUUGUUGGUUUAUAAAUUAUAAGGUGCUCUUAUGUCCACCGUUUGGAAAUUUUUUGCAGGUUGGCUAUUUGUCUGGAUUUGUAGUUGGCAUUGCCAUUGGACUUUCUGUGCUCAUCACAGGGUAGGUCUAUAUAUACAAACAAUAUAAAUGCAGCAAUUACAUUAAUUUUAAUUUCUCAACCCACUUGUCAUUUUUCCUUUUAUACAAUAAUUGUCAUCUAUGAGAUUUGAACUCCGGACCUCCUCCAAACAUGAAAGCUGAGUAUCGGUACGCAUUAAUGCAGGCCUGUUUCAGGAGGGUCAAUGAACCCAGCAAGGUCACUGGGGCCUGCAAUUGUUGCAUGGAACUUCCAAGACCUAUGGAUAUAUAUUUGUGGCCCAACAAUUGGAGCUGUUGCAGGUGCUCGCCUGUUUCAAAUUCUACGCCUUCAGCCCUGCAGUCCCAGCAACACUUCCUCUUCCAAUAUCCGUCUGCUAGGCCAACCCUUGCCCUAUGAAGCGACUUAGGCUGUUUUUUCUACACAAGAAUGAUGCUUUACUGAAUUGGAAAUUUGUCGACUCGAUUGCAACAAUAACUGAGCGAAGACAUCAGCUGCAACUGAGUUUUGCAAAAAAGCAGAACUGCUACUAGUGAAAACAAAACUGAUGAUGCGGUUGAAUAAUUGGUGGUAGUUUCUUACUUUACCAACUUUCUUUGAAUUGGUAAAAGGUGAAGAUGUCACUUUUUUGUUGGAGCGAAUAAAAAUGAAGUUCGGUGUCUAACAAGUUUUUGAGAUCACCAUAUUGUUCUUUCUUGCUGGCCUUUGACCAACUGCUAUGGACACCAAUUAGCAAAGUGCCAUAAACUCCAAUUUACUUAUUAAAUAAUUAUAAAGUAUCCCAGGUGAAAAACAAAAUUGAUGCAUUCGAUGUGAGUGAAAAUUAUAAAAUUUAUACAAUAGGUACAUACACGCACGAUGAAAGUAAUUAGAAAAAUAAUAAAUUAACAAGAAAUUUGUAACUCGAGUGGUUAAAAGAUAAGCUUUUAAAAUAACUAUUAUGAAAGUUCACGAUGUAUUUCAACUCUCAAGGUUGUUGAUUCAUACGUUCAACAUGAAAUGGAGGGGCUAAAGAAGCAACCAAAUAAUAAAAUUUAAAAGUUAUAGGUGUGGACUUAAACUCGGAUAUCUUUGGGCCAAUAAAUUGACCAACUCAGACCUGUUUUUGUUUUGCUUUGGGGUUGCAAUUGUAAUUCCGAGUAAACCCAACCCAACCUAACCCAGAAACUAGCGUGCCUUUUGCUUUUGGAUCAAUCAUUGGAAUACAGUAUUGUUAUGCAACAGGUUUCUCUCAUACCAGCGCAGUAACGCGAAUAAUUGUGGUUUCAUACUUCAUUUUCAUUACCACUAACAGACAAGUUACAAAUGCCGAUUCACUGGUUGGGUAUAAGUCUUUUUCUCCAAAGUGGUUUUGGAUUUGUUUCCUCAACUCCUUGUUUGUGUAAACCAAGACUAAAUCCAUUUAAUAAGGAUGUUUCUAAACUUUGCCUUAAUGCUUUUUUAGACACAUUGAAUCCAUGCCGCAUACUAAAUAUAUCAUGUCUGGAUUAUGAUGCUUGUCACUUCGUCGAGACAAUUUAAGAGACUCGGAUUGUUGAGAGCAUUUCACAUUAAAAAUGGAAGUCUUGCAUUAAUAGUUUAAAUGAUACUGAGACUCUUUACUCAUUUUCAAUUAAUUUUGAGUUAGAUAUUUUAAUUCUAAUACAAUAAUUAUUCACAAAUUAAAUUCAAUAAUAACACGUGCUCUCAUAUCACCAGAUAAAUCCAGGCUUAAUUGUUUGUCUUGUGGAUGUAUGCUUCCAUGUAUCUUGAUCGAACUAAACUAGAGUUUUUGUUACAAUAGCACAAGAGAGGUUGGCACAAUAUUCACAGAAAUUGUGAGGAUAUUCCGUAACCAAUCAAGAGGACACAAGAUGAUGAUAUAAUAUUGCUGAUGGGUUCCUAAAAUGGGAACAAUUUAUGUUGCAUAUAUCCAUCUAUUAGUUUAAAAGCAUGAACCAAUUUCUGGUUGGGUCUUCCUUAAUGCAUGAACCAAUUAGCACUGCAUUAUUCUUCUUAAUCAUUUUCCACCUCUCUGACAUAGAAUAGCACCUAAACAAUAACACAUGAAUCCUACAAAAUAUCAUAUUAUACUUUGUGGGUUCUAUCUUAUUUGACAAAAUUAAGAGAACAAUUGCGACCCUUAAUCUUAUCUAUAAUUAUUUUAGUCCCCCAUUAAUUAGUGAAAUUCCUACCCAGACUCUUCUAGAAAUUGUAUUUUGAAGACCACUGACCCUUAUCUCUAAAUGGUGCCGUUAUUUGUAUUACUUUUGUUGACUACCUCUUUAAUACAUAUUGAUAGAGUUUAUCUUUAUUAAAAUGGUCAAUAAAUAUGAAACAAAAACCAUUAUUGAUUUCUAAAACUACCAAAAAUUCAUGAUUGAUUGAACUCACACGCUUGGGUUGCUUUGAGCUACAGAGCUAGCCGAAGCUUUGAUUCUUGAAGACUCGGUCAUUUCCCAGCCAAACUUAAAAUAAUGCUUUCCUUGACGUGGAGAACACCAUAAACAUCACAUCAGUCAAAAUAUCUCUCUCUCUCUCUCUCUCUCUCUCCCCAUGCUUCCAAAAACGACAAUAAACAACUUGGUCUAUUAAAGGAUGCAUUGCUCUCUCAGUGCUCAUAUUUUUAUUAAUCUAAUUAAAACUAUCUUCCAUUAUGUAAUGUAAAUUAAACUUGGACUGAUCAGCCAUAGAUUUCUCAUCAAACAAACGGCAUAAUAUACAGGACGAGCAUUAAGCUCCAAGUGCCAAAGCCAACACUUUCCUGUUCCAGACACCCUGGAAUGGCUACUUCUGCAUAAUUUAACCCUUGUUUCCUCUUUCCUAGUUGGAUAUGAUUGCUCUUUCAUCACUUUUUUUGGGGUUCCCUUUUAUUUAUUUAUUAGGAAUGCUAUUCCAUUGAUGUGUGUGUUGUGUCUUAUUCUUUUAUUUUAAACCUAACUUAUUUUCAUCUUUAUGGUAUAGUUCAAUACCAUCAACAAUAAACCUCAUUUAACUUUAUCAUAUUUACACACACAAAAAAAGGGCACUUAAUUUAUAAAUUCUGAAGAAAAAAAAACAUAAUCUUAUUAAAGAAUAUCUUUUCUCACAUAAAUAUCACCUUGUUAUGAUGGUGACAUCCUUAUUGUAUUCCAUAAGAAAAUUAAAAAUUAAAUAAAAAUAGAUGCAUUAUCUAUGAUAAUGGACAAAAUAGAUGCAUUAUUUAUGAGAAUGGACAAAAUAGAUGCUGCCAUAAUUUGGUUAUCUCAAACAAUAUUCGAUAUGAAUGUAUGGUAUGUUGACGUUUAAAAAGUUGGUCCCCAAGCACUGGUUGAUCACAACUUCAUAUAUGAUGGGUCACAUAUCCACAACCAUACACCAAAGUGGUUUAUGAAUUUGGAAUGUACCCCAAGGUCCAUUGAAAAAAGGAAAAUAAGGUUUAUGAUAUUUAUAAAAUAAAAUAAAAUAAAGAGAAAAAGAAAUAAGGUUUAUGAGCAAGUCCAAAUCAAGGGUAGGAGUGGUUGAGCAAAAACUUGGUCUUAUAUCUUUCGUGGUAACGAUCUUCUUACUCAUCACAUCCAAUUCAAGUGUCUUUUAUUGGAAAUUAUGGCCUCAUAUACAUUGCCACUAAGGUUCUAGUCCCACCGACACCAACCACCAUUCUCCACCUUUUCCUUGAUCAUAGGCAAAUUAGAAAACCAACUUUGGUAUUUAUUGCUUGGUUGAGGAAAAUGGGUUUCGGCUUGUUGAUUAAAAUUAUAUUGAUCGUCCAAUGAGGAAAACCAUAUAGGCAUACCUAAUUUACAGUUAAAAGGGGACUAGAUUAUAGUUUAUAACUAAAAUUUAAACAAAAUAUGAAUGAGUAAGAGUGUGUUUAAGACUGCUUCAAUAGAAAACAAUGUGUGCUCUUAAGUGUUUUUUUAGAAGUGUGUUUUUGGAAGCACUUCUAUUAGAAGAACGUAGAAAUUAUUAAAAAUUCAAGUGUUAAUUGAAAGAAAAUAUUUGGAAGUGAUUGUUGAAGAAGUACAUAGACAGUACUUUUUCAAAAAGUGUUUUUAUCACCCAAAUUGUUUUUCUAGCAAACCAUAUCAUAAUCAUUUUUAGUUUUUUCAAAAUUAGUCCGAAAUAGGCCCUAAUGAUAAAAUAAGAAAUUACAAAAGUUUGCUAGUGAGAGAAUAGAGACGUGUUAAAGUAUUCAAGGGAAAACUAUUAGUAUCAUUUAAACUCUCACCUCACUGUCAACCAAUGAAAAAAGGGUAUUGACUUGCAGAUUAAUAGUCAUAAGUUCGAACCCCCAUGACACUUUUGUAUUGUAUGUGUAAGAAACCUCCAUUCUUUUAUAGUUUAAGCUAUCAUUUAUAUAUACUAUUGACCUCACUCACCUUUUGAAACUUUUUAAUUACAAUUUAAACCUUAUAUAGAUUUAACUAAAAUAACACAUUUAGGAGUGAAAAUUAAUGGGAGGUGAGCAAUUAUAUCAGCAAUGUAGUAUAGGUGAGUAGACAAUGGGAAGUGGCCACUCUUUUCUUUUACCUCUAAAAUAAGGAGAAAUACUCUAAUGCAACAGACAUAACACUUUUUGUUAUCUCUAGCCAAUAAUACAAAAACGCAUAAAUUAACUUUUAUACGUAUCAUUGUAUUAUUAGUCCAAUAUAGAAAACAGUGCAAUUCCCUUUAUAAGAAAGUUUUAUUCUCAAAUAAGAACUGCCUGUGAUAAAUCCAAAGGCUAUGAUAAACCAAAAUGGCCCCACUAGGGUUUCCAACAGCUUAUCCACUCAACUCCAAUGCUGAUUGGGACAUAAUAAUAAUGUAGGCUUAUCUUUGGGUGGAAAAGUAAAUAAGCCCACUUGCUGCUCUGUCACAUUCAUUCAGACCAAAAUAAAGGUUCCCAUUUUUUCGAUCCAGAAUUUUCAUUUCAAUGCCUAACAUGUUUACACUGCUGACUGUCACGCCCCGUUCAAAUUUGGUCCACCACCAUUGCAAUCAUAUAAAAUAACAACAACACGAAAUUGCUUCAAAAAGCAAAAUGAAAAUAAAUAAAGGGCAGGAAGGGAGGAAGAUGAAAGUGAAAGAGAAUAAACAUUAUCAAUAACAUUUCUUUUUCCUAUGUGUAAAAGUUGUCCCCAUAUAGAAGGAAGAGGCAAGACACUAAUGCGUUGGAGCUCACCUCACCAUUUAUGUAUAUUGUUGCUAAAUGAAGGGUUACAUCAUUAGAUCGAUGGACUGCACUUAAAAGUCUAAAAGAUUAGCUAGCUUAACUCAUUGUCAUUGGUCGAGUGACAAAUAAUUAAAAACUUUUUUUUUUUCCUUUGGCCUGAAUAAUAAUAAAUUCAUUUUAUUGUAUAUGUAGAAAAUUUUGUUGUUAAUGCAUAUCUGGGUAGUCUAGUGAAAAAUGACAUUGAAUUGCAUACAAAAAGUCUCAUAUUCGAACUUGCAUGGCGUCUUGAUUGUGUGUGUGAUAAAACUCCCUCGCUUAUAAUUUAAACUAUAGUUUAUAUUAAAAAAAAGUAAAAAAUCUUGUUGUUAAAGUGCAGAUGAAGUGUUUAUAUUAUUUAUAAUAUAAUUUUUAUUUUUAUUUUUAUAAAAAAACUUUGAUUUGAGUUUCACUAAUGAAUCUUAUCUCCUCCACUUUAGUGAAGCAUAAUGAUGAGAAUUUCAGAAUCUGGUUCCUCAAGACGUUUAGGACUCCACUUAUUAACCUUAUUUCACCAAGUUUAGAGAGUUUAAUUUAAUUAACCACAUAAAGACUUGGUUUAACCAAAAACUAUAUAUAUAUUUUUUAUUUUUUAUUUUUUUUGUAGCUAUAUAUUUCUUUAUGGUUUUUUUUUUGUUCGCUUCACUAAUUCUUCUUUCUUGGUAUGAGCUUGACUGAUCUCGAAGGGCCUCAAGUUCAUGCAUAUUUUCGUUUUUGUUAAAACAGUAUCGUUUUGAUUUUGAAUUGGUUUGAAAUAAUUUUUGGGAGAUUCACUAUUAUAUUUAAUAUAAGAGUCCAUAGCUAUGUACAACAUAAUAAAGAGACUUUGAACUUCCUAUAAAUUACAAAACUAUCAUCAAUUUCUUAAAACAAGUCCAACCCGAAAACCUCAUAUAAAAACACACAACACUCAAUAGGGCAUCAAAGUAAUUUAAUAAACAAAUUAAAUUUAAUAGAGUCUGCUGUCAUUGUUUGAGUUUAUUUAUAGAAAUUAAAUGAUGUAUAAUUUAUUUAUAUCAUUAGUACUAAAAAUGAGUAUAUAACUAAUAUCUCAUAAUUUUUCAAAUAUAAACUUUACUUGUAACUGACGUCGUUUUGAAUGGAAGCAUCAUGCUAUUAAAAACACGAGUAAAGAUUCAUAUUCCAUGGAUAGAUGACAAUUUCCUGACUAAUAUUCCAUGGAUACAUGACAAAAUCGUAUAAUAAUUUAGAUCUGAUCCGUUAGAUAAACUGUGGGCCAAAACCAUGGGCCUUACUGACAGGUAUUUUAAUCUUAUCCCAUUGACACGUCAUCUAUUAAUUAUUUUGCAGUUCUUUAUUUUUCUCCUUUUUUUCUUGAGUCAACAGUUAUAUUCUUUGUUUGUUUGUUUGUUUUUUUUUCUCAUUUUUCUUGUUAAGUUAUAUUCUUUCUUUCUUUCUUUUUUAAUUUUUACAAGGUAGGAUUUGGAUCCCUGAUCCUUUAAACAAAAUUAAAAAAAAAGGAAAAGAUUUGAGGGAGAGAGACUUGGGUCUUAAUCUUUAAUCACUUCAAGUGAGUUUCUUAAACCUUUUUCUUUUUCUGUUUUUGGUCAAUUUAAAUUUCUUAAACAUGGGAUAUAGAGUUAAUGAGGUAUAGCUCAGUUGGUUGAGCGCUUUCAACUCCACCCUUGUAAUAGACAGAAGUUUCAAACCCGUAAGCACCCAAUAAAUAUUUGUGUAAACUUCUCUCCUUAAAUCACUUAAACUAAAACAUGGGACAUGGAAAAGUUCGACCUAAGCCAACAAUGCAGGAGAAAAUUUAUUGUGUGUCCAAAACGCAAUUUAAAUACAAACACACGGGAUGGGACCCAUAACAAAUACAAAAGUAAGCUUCUCAUACAAUUCUGUAAAUGCACAAGUGAUAGACCCCAAAACACACAUUCUUCUCAUAUCCCGUAUUCACCAACCCAACAACUUCAUAACCAAAGUACAACAAGAAGGUUCACAAUAAAUCAUGUUUUGCUUUAAAGUUAGACAUAAAUGGAAAGGGAAACCCAACAAAUCGCGCAUUCAAUCAUGUUAAAGCUACAUUAUUAUACGAGACUAGUCACAAUUAAGUAUAAGAUCACAAAUAUAUUUCGUCAUCACAUUCAUGUGACUCAAACUUGCAACAUACUUCAAUUAAGUAGAAACAAUUACCAAAUAAUAGUGUAGUAACAAAUCUCGUAACUUUUUUCUUAGAAUUAUAUUUCAUAUACUUGAAUCCUUUCUUCACUGAGAUAACGCAAAACUUACGUCCAAUGUUUAAAGAAACAACCUAGCAUUAAUUAAUUUGGUUUGUUAUGAAAAAGGAGUAGGAGGAGCACCUAACCCGAAUAAUCCAUAAAAUAUAUAUGUGGGGAUGGAUGAAUCUAUUUGCAUCCUUUUGUAUUCAAUACGUUUUUAUGCUUAGCCGUCGUCCCCCACAUGCCGCUAAUCUCCAUUGAUUCAAUUGAUAUUUUAUGCUUCCAAUUUGAACUUGCCAACAGAAAUUUGAAACUGUACCACAGGCCAUCCAUGGUUUUUUGGAACUUAAAAACUUGGACCCAUCUUAUUUUAAUUAUUAUAUGGAGAAAUAUCAGCAAAAAUAAAUUGAAUUCAUCAUACCCCUAUAAUAUAAAAAACAUAUAAUUUGGUAAUUGAUGAAGAUAAAUUAUAAAAUAUGGGUUUGAAUUAAUAAAAAAUCGAAAAUAAGAUGAUGUAUUAACAUGAAUAAAAGAACAGAUUCAAAUUAUAGUGUCAAAACUUUGCUAGAGUUUAAUUUGAAAUUAAUAUUACAAAUUGAAGGAUGACCUUUGAACAUGUUGCAAAUUAAUAUAAACUUACGCUUACAUUUUUUCGCUAAGGUUUUUAUUUAUUUAUAUUUUUUUCUAAUAAAUUAUUCAAAAUUAUGUGAGAUUUGAAUUGUAUGAUACUAUUGCUUUCAACCAUCAUAAAAGUACUUUUAUAUAGGAUACUUUGUGGCCACCAAUAUCUAAGCCCUAACACUGGGAUGUAGGCAUGUAGCUUGAGUCGCACGCAUUGAAGGCCAAAUCAAAUUUUGUUUGCACCUCACCUCACCUCAUAGGAUUAACAAAUCAGUUUGGUUUAUUUCAAAAGUUUUUCUAGUGUUGUUUAAGACACCCUGAUUUUAUUUAAUACGUUUAUUUUAAGGCCGUAAUCACCCUUAGAUUAGGGUGGAUUUUAUUCAAGAGGCUCAUUUCAAGGUUGCAAUCACCCUUCGAUUAGGGUGGACUCUAGUUCAGGGACGGACCCACAGCGGGGUUAAACGACCCUAUAGACUUUUUCUUUUUUUAAAACAUGCUGACCAAAACAGCGUUGUUUUGACCCAACAAUUUUUUUUUGAAAAAAAACACGCUGGCCAAAACGACCCAGUAUUUAUUAUUAUUUUUAAAACACGCUGGCCAAAACGGCGUCGUUUUGACUAAUCGGUUAUUAUUAUUUUUUAAAUGAGCCCUGACCAAAACGAUAUUGUUUUGACCCAGCGAAUUUUUUAUUAUAUGACUUCGCCAAAACGACAUCAUUUUGGUCUAGGUCUUUAAAAAAAAUAAAAAAAAAAUUUCAACACCCCUCCACCCGACCCUAGCAUCUCAAAACCCCAUUCUUUUCUCCUCAAUCCUAAAUCCCCAAUCUCCACCCCACACCCACCCCCCACCGACCAUGCCCCCCACCCCCUCCAAAACCAUUAAAAAAAAUUUAUACUUUUAUACUAUGACCCUACGAUAUAAGAUUUCUGAGUCCAUCACUGCUCUAGUUCACUCAAAAUAAUUAGAUAAAUAAGAUUUUAAUAUUAUUUUAGGAAAUUUAGCAUAUUUAUGAAAAUUAGCCCAUCCCAUUCCACAAAAAAUUAGUCUACUCUACUCUAGCAGCUCCUUAAAUGAAAAAAAAAAAAAAAAAAAGGAACAAUUUAUAACCCGCCCAUGUGACAGUUCUUGGUUUGGCCCUUGGCCCUUUUAAAAGAUUCUAUAAAUAAGGGUCAAGGUUGAAGGUUCAUACCUUAUUCUGUUUUAACAAUUCAAUAAACUACCCUAAAUUUCUCUUUCGAGGUUUCUCCAAAAAAAAAACAAAAAAUAAAAAAACAAACGCCACACAAACGAAAAUAUCGUUAAAUGGAUUUUCUAUCCAAUAUUUCUAAGUUCUAACAAUUGUUACCCAAAAAUUAAAAAAAUUUUGAAAUUGUUUUCAUUUUAUUUCAAAAUUUUGUUUUCACUUUUGUUACUCUUCUCUCCUAUCCUCCCUUCUCAUCCUUAUUUCUAUUCUCAUUCUCAUUUUUAUUUUCUCUAUAUUUUAACACAAAAAAUAAAAAAGAAAAAAGAAAAAAGAAAAAAGAAAAAAGAAAAAAAAAAAUUAUCAAAUGGGCCUUAAGUGCACAAAGAGCGAAAAAGAAAAACCGAAAACAAAUCAUCCCCUAUUUAUUUCCAAAGCAUACAAUUCCAGUAAUUUCGCCACAAAUCAUGAAAACUAAAACAGGAAAAUUCAGCGACCAGCAAUCCGACAUAUCACCGACGCGGAAUCUAAACACUUGCCGACGUGCCACGGCAACAUUAGCAAUCCAAACUAAGGAACAUCUAGACACUUCCGUGCCUGAUCAGAUCCUUCCUCACUGAUUCAAUUAGCCUAGGAGCCCCACAGGCUCGGGAAUCAUCGCCACCAGCGGGUCCCACAGACCACAUGCCUCGUCGUGCUUGAUUGGAUUAUUCUGUUUUAAAAGAAGAAAAAAAGACAACAGAAAAUGAAAAUUCCAUAAAAAAUACAACAGAAAAACUCGCAAGUCACAAGCUUCCGUCGAAAAAUGACGAUAAUACCCACGCCCCCUCCCUAUAAAAAAAACCCCCACCCUCCAUUGCAAACGAUCCCAUGUCCGAGCUCUCAACUCCAUAGCAAAAAAUUCAGAGAGAGAGAGAGAGAGAGAGAGUAGAUUUUGUUCAGAUUUUCGUCAGAUUUUGUUUCUUUUUCUUCAUUUUCGAGCUAGCGAUCAAUCAUGUUGGGAGUUUUCAGCAGCGCGAUCGUAUCGCCGCCGGACGAGCUGGUGGCCGCCGGCAGCCGCACUCCGUCUCCAAAGAUAACGGCGGCGGCGCUGGUCAACCGCUUCGUCCAGAACAAUGGGAACGCCGUGUCCGUACAGGUCGGCGACCAUGCUCAGCUAGCCUACAGCCACAGCAACGAGUCAGCGUUACAGCCGAGGUAAGACAAAACGCGCUGCGAUGUCGUUUUAACUGUUGUGAUGACUCAUCAUCCACCACCACUCGAUACCAAUUCGUUAUUGAUCAAACCGAGCAACUAGCGCGUAAGAGUGAAAAAUAAAGUGUUCAUAAAAGGAAGUGCGUGAUUGGCGUAGGAGAUUAAAAUUUAUUUCUUCUUUACUUUUCGCGAUAUUUUUUUAAAAUUUAAAAUUUAUUAUGUUUUGGUGCGUGAUGAAAGUAUGAUCGAUCAUGAUCAUGAUCAUGAUCAUGAUUAGAUUUGAUAAUCAUGAUCGAUCCUGGAUCUGAUGAUCAUCUGAAAUCGGACCAUCGGGAUUAGCAAGAAAACCAAGGUUGGCCUCUUGGCGGUUACUGAUAGGGGGAGGAGGUGGUCUCACAUGACCGCCAGGCGACGCUAUCUAGAAUCAAGAUUCUGUUGACUUUGUUGUUUCGAAUGGACCGCCACGUGGCAGUAUCUAAAAUAUUUGAUCACACAAACUUUACCAAAAUUAUGGAUUUGUGGCCCCUUUUUAAAAAUUAUAUUUUUCUUUUCUUUUCUUUUUUCUUAAUUGUAUUUUAUAUUUGGAAUAGUGUUUCAAAACUAUUUACUUUAUCCCCAAUCAGUUUAAAAUUCUCCAUCCAAGAAUUGUUGUGGAAGGAGGUGGGGUCAGUUGACGAUGGGCAUGACGUAGGUGGGGUGUGGGGUGGGACCCCGAUGGUUUCUUGGUUUAGGAUUGAUACAAUGAACGAUGGAGAGAUGCUUGCAAGGAUGUGUCAACGAGGUGUCCAAGGGGCACGCUCUAUUUUUUUAAUUAUAAAUAUUUUACAGAUAUAUAUAUAUAUAUAGUCUAAGUUAUAAGAGAAGGAAAUUUUUCUCACAUACAUCACAACUAUGAUGUCGUGAAGAAAUAUUUGUGUGUAGAUCUUUAAUUUGCAAGUCAAUUUCUUUGAACCAGAUGCUUUGGCAGAUACAUAUUAAAUAUUAAAACAUGCAUUAAUUGAAAAUCUUAAUGUGUGGCAUGCAUCAUUGAAAAGAAACUUCCCACAGUAAUAUAUUUGUGAAGUCUUCCAUCACCAAAAUAAUUGCACCAUAGUGACAGUCCAUAUCCAUAGGUGUGGAGAGUUGGGACCAUAGCCUAGUUGUUUGAUGAUGUAGAAUUGGAAUAAAUAGUCUGUUUUUCAAGGGGCUUAACUGGUCAAGAGUAAUUAGUCCUCGGUGGAGGUCGUGUUCAAAUCCCCCUCUUAAUAUUGAUCAUGUAAAAAUUGGAAUAUUCUUUAUGAACAAUGCACCCAUGUUAAGAUUUUAGCUUCUAGUAAUAAAUAUCCAAGACCACUGUUCUGGUUCGCAAUAUCUGAGUGUUGAGAAUGGGAAAAAUUGCAGGUCAUUUGCAGUGAAGGAUGAGAUAUUCUGCUUGUUUGAGGGAGCCCUUGACAACUUGGGAAGCUUGAGGCAGCAAUAUGGACUAGCCAAGUUUGCAAAUGAAGUGCUUUUGGUGAUUGAGGCCUACAAGGCACUGCGAGACCGGGCCCCCUACCCACCUAACCAUGUGGUUGGCCACCUCAGUGGAAAUUUUGCUUUCAUAGUAUUUGACAAGUCCACCUCCACCUUGUUCGUGGCUUCUGUAAGUCCUUCCACCUCAUCCAAGCAAAUAAUCUUAUUAAUUUGAUUUGGUAAAGCUAAUUGCUGCUUUGAUUGACCUCUAACAACAAUCAAUUUGGAUUUUGUGAAAUUUUGACAGGACCAAUAUGGCAAGGUGCCUCUGUCUUGGGGAAUCACCGCUGAUGGAUAUGUGGCCUUUGCUGAUGACGCAGAGUUGCUUAAGGGUGCUUGUGGCAAGUCACUUGCCUCAUUCCCUCAAGGUGAGAAAUCACAGCCGCUGGAUUCAUUGAUAGAAUUUUCAGGAACCCAAUUGGCACACCUAAAUUCUUUGACUUUUGGAUCCCCCAAAUAAUAAGAAAAAAUUAAAUUAAAAUCUCUGUUCUUUGUUAACAAUGGUGCUAUUGAUUUGUGCAGGAUGCUUCUACUCCACAGCGGUUGGAGGCCUGAGAAGCUAUGAGAAUCCUAAAAACAAGAUCACUGCUAUACCUGCUACUGAAGAAGAGUUCUGGGGUGCAACAUUUAAGGUAAUAUAAAGUCACUAUUUUUUUUGUGGGAAUCAUUUACAAGAUCUCAAAGAACUAGAGGCAACAAAAAUAGUUGUCCUCCUAUAUUGACUGGCAACAGUCCGUCAAGGAACCAAUAAUAGCAUAUCAUCAGAUGGUGACAAAUUACACCAACUUCUAUUGAUGUUCAUAUCAACCACAAAUUUUGUUGUUUUUGUCAACUUGAUGGGUUGAAAUUUCAGGUGGAAGGGCCAGCAGUUUUUGCAGCCACAAAGUAGAGAUUUUCCUGAUAGAGUGCAGUCUUCAAAAUCUGUAUCCAUUUCAGGGAGGGCGGUUAGGGGAGAGGCUUUUAUAUGGUGUUGAAUGUAAGGCAUACAUCCGGGAGGGAGGGGCCAUGUAAAUACCUGGUAAUGGUGACUGUUGUUGAUAAGUGUUGAUGUUUUGUAUGAGGGCUUUGUUUUCUCUUCUUGUUGUAGUUGCUCGCUGUAUUCUAGCUUCUACUGUUGUACAGCUAUGCUUUUUAUCUUUUUAUGAAGUUGUAUUAAUUAAGGUUUCAAUGCUUUUUCGUUGACGCAUAAUGCAAUUAUAUAACGUAAGAGUAAUUUUUCGGUGCGACACUCAAAAGGUUAUGUGGUGCAUUAAUCCAUUUAUGGUUUUAUUUAUCAAUACUAUACCUAUACCUAAGUUCAUGACAUAUUGUCAUCUACUAAUAUUUUAACAUGUAGAUUAGUAACACCAAGUGACAGGAUGAUCGCAACACUAAAAAAUUCCUCACAAAUACCAGCUCCAUAUUUUCAAUACCCAAUACUACUGGACCAAUUGGUGACAAUCAGCUACUAAAUUUGCUAUCAACUGAAUGGCAUUGGGUUUAGGGUUUUUGGUAACAUAGUCUUGUAACUCGCUCAAAGCAAAUUCGCAUUUUGUGGCACUGGUUUGGCUGGAAGCACCUUUAAGUUUGAGUGAAUUGGAUGGUUACUUCUGUAAUGGUAGUUAUAGAAAUGAUGGGGAAAAUAAAAGAAGUGGUCAACAACACACCAUCAGAAAGGAACAUAACAUGUAUUAUUACACCGGGUUGGGACACCAACAGUGGUCCAUAAUCUGAUGCAGACCGGCUAGUAGGCUGGAUCGGGACAGAUUUCCAAAUUGAACUGGGCUCGGGCCUAGUUUUGGCCCGUCUCAUUGGUCAUGAAGGCUGGCCUCCAUACCUAUCUAACCCUUCUACUAUUUAUCAUUCUAUCUUCCUUUUGAGUAGUAUAGUUGACACCCAUUAUUGUCUCAGCUGUUUAAUAUCAAUUGCAAGAUCUAGUCUUGUAAAAAGCGGCCUUGAAUUGUAGAUCAGUGGUCUCAAACUUAAAUCUCUGUGGCACCUUAAUGAUGUGUGUAUGUGAGAAAUCUUCUCCCUAUUAUAGUUUAGACUAUCACUUAUAUAUAUAUAUAUAUAUAUAUAUAUAUAACAUUAACUAAUGUGAUACAUAACAUUGCAAUUGCGUAUUGGUUAUAAAUAAAAUAAGUUCACACUAGACUCAAACAUACACAAAUAUAAUUCUACCACAUCAAUUGGGUUUUAAAAACUUGAGAUAUGUGUUGGUGCAUAUGCUAGGGAUUGCAAUGGGUCGAAUCAAGGGUGGAUAUGUCAUUCCCAUCCAUGUUAAGCAUUCUUCCCCUAUCCCCGCCUUCAUACCCACAAUAUUGGGGAUUCUCCAUCCCCACAUUAGUUGGGGAAUGGAUUUCCCGACCUGCCUCCCUACGAAUAAAAAAUAACUUUGUUGAACGAGAAAAAAGCACUAUAGGCACAACAUAUGUAUAAAUUCAAUUUUAUUAACUAAAAAUCUAGACUAUUAAACAAAACAACAUGUCCAAGACAUGAUCAUCAUUAUAGAGGUAGCAAGCACCAUCAUCACACAUUUUAAUAAUAUAUUUAUGUGAAAAAUAAAUUAUAUACAUAUUGUAAACCAGGAGAGUUCGGGUCGAAGAUUAGUGGUUGGGUCUUUUUUCGUCGGAAGGCUUGUCCAGGUUUGUUGAUUCUUUGACUGCCAUAGAGUAGUGAAUCAAUCAUUCGUUGCCCCUUUUUAUGAGUUAGCGAGAACUAGCCCCAAAGCAUUCCGAGGGAGAAACAAGUCCCAGGAGAGUACUUUGUUUUUCUUCCAACGACUGCGUGUUUUGUGCUGAUGUUUCCAGCAGUCAGACAAAAAGUUGGAGAUGGUGCAUUGAUGUUGCACAUGCUUGGCAUGAGAGUUUGCUUUGGUGAAUCAAGAUGCUAUUAGGUUUGGCAUGAGAUGCUUGUGGCGUGGGAGCUAAGAGAAAAUGAGCAUAAAGAAAGGAUUAAGGCUUGAGGUGUUUUUGGCAGUUAGACGAAUAGCUUGCGAUGUCAGUGUUUUCUUACUAAAAUGGUAAUGAUUAUAGUUUCAACUUAGCUUGAGAGGAUGAGUGUUUCAAAUUUGGGAUGAAGCCUUGUGUGUGUGUAUGUGUGUGUGUGUGUGUGUGUGUGUGUGUGUGUGUGAGGGGGAGAGAGAGAGAGAGAGAGAGAGAGAGAGAAGAUGGGUGGCUUGAGUAGAUUUCCAUCAGUUUAAAGAAUGUUUGGUCGUGCUUUUGCAUAGUUGAAAAUGACUUGAUGAUGUUGAACUGAGAUUGUGUGAGCUUGGCAUGAGAGGUUGGAGGGUGGGAGCUAAAGACCCGCAAGUUUAGCAAAUGAGAAUGCAUGUGCUUAGCUUGGUAUAGAUAGGCUUGAGUAUAGGUGUUGAGAACUUGUCGUUUGUGGUUAUGGCUAUAGUGAUUUAAAAGUUUCAAGAGAAGGAUGAUGGAAGGAAAAGCUUGAGGCUUGAAGGCUAUGAUGUUUAUAGCUCGGAAGGGUAUGUGGAGGAAGGAAAAUCUCAGAGAAGAUGGAGGAUUUUAAGGAUGAGAAAGUAGAAGAAAUGGUUAUGAUAGUUGAGGAAUGGCUGAGAUUGUUGCUGGAAUGCUUGCAGCAGCCGAAUGGAGAAAGGAAUGUGGUUUGAUGGUUGCUGGGGUGCUUGAGCAACCAAGAAAUGGAGGUUGAUGGCUCAGGAAUGACUGUGAUGGCUGCUGGAAUGCUUGUAGCAGCUAAAGAAAGGGUGAGUUCUCAUGGUUGCUGAGAGACUUGCAGGAAUCAAGAGGAGUUGGUUUUGCCUAGGUAAUGCCUCCCAAUUUAUAGAAGGUGAAGGCUCUCUUGGUUUCCAAUAGAUAAAAGGAAGUGUUGGAGUUAGUCUAUUUCCAACGGGUAAAAAGGAGCAUUGAGACAUUCGUAUUUCCAACAGGUAAAGCUAGGCAUUGGAAAAUGACUAUUUCCUAUGGGUAAAAGGAAGUGUCGGAAUUGGCUUGUUUCUAGUGGGUAGUAUGGAGUGCUUGAAGAAUAUCUCAUUUGCUCACCCACAUUGGAGAACUCCAAGUAAUGGGCUUGGAGUUUAGUGCUCCCAAGUAGCUAGCCCAAAGUCUCCAUUAUCUAAGAGCUUUCGUGGGCCUUGUGGACUUUCGUAACCUUCCACACCACAAUCCCUCGUGCAAGCCCCGUAAACCACAUGACUUGGGUUCGUGUGAGCUUGGAAGAUGAUUGAAAUAUGAAAAAUGUAUUAUUGGCUUGGCAUGACAUGCACACUAUUUCUAUAUUUAUUUAAUGAGUUAAUUCCCAAAAUACAGGUUGGAUUAACACAUGACCAACAUUAUAUGUUAUAUUGGACUUUAAAUGUCCAUGGGCUUCUCGUGACUUUUUGGGCCUCAACAAUUAGAAUAUCAUCCCCAUCCCUCCCCGAACAUCAUACCCCAAAAAUUCCCCAAACCCAUCCCCAUAGCCAUUUUUUAUCCUUCACACCUGACCUAUUAGGGUUGAAAUCCAGCGGGAAAAAUUGUCAUCCCUAGCAUAUGCCUCUAAAAUUAUUAUUCCGUUGUCCCUAAUAUUCUCAUUUAGACUAAUCUUAUCUUGAUUUUCCAUUAGAUGUAUUCAUACUAACACUUAAAAACACUUCUUAUUCUAAUAUUGUAAUAGCAUUUUCAAGGGAGACGUCAAAUAUCAAAUAUUAAAUUUGAAUUUGAUGGCUUAUAUGACAUUUGACAUCUCGGUUGGAGUUAAUUUCAGCUAUUUUUCUACAUGCUAAAAAUGCAACAUUGGUUUUAACAUCUCCAUUGGAGAUGCUUUAAGUCGAUAAUGGAGUUUAAUAUUCAAUUUGUAUAGAUGUUUUCCCUUUGUAUUUUAGCUUUGUCUUGAUGUUUAGAUAUGUCAUACUAACUUAAGGGAUCUAAAUAUCCUCAUAUAUAUAUAUAUCUAUAUAUAUAAAGCAAAAGGCAGAGAAUGGUGAAACAUUCAAAAUAUCAGAAAAUGCCCUUGGUUAAUGCAAACAUUAAGAAUUCAAAUUAUUAAUUAAAUGAGGAUAAUAUGGUAAAUUCACAAUUUUUCGUAUUAAAAAAAUUAAAAAUAAAAGAAAAUUCAGAUAAUGGAUCUUAUUUUUACAAAUAUCCAUUAUCUUUUUUAAUUCUAAAAUAAAUUUUAAUUUUUUUAAAAAAAACCUCUCGCAAGCGCGGAAGCGCGUGCAUAGAGGCUAGUAUAUAUAUAUAAAGCAAAAGGCAGAGAAUGGUGAAACAUUCAAAAUACCAGAAAAUGCCCUUUGUUAAUUCAAACAUUAAGAAUUGAAAUUAUUAAUUAAAUGAGGAUAAUAUGGUAAAUUCAUAUUUUUUAAUAUUAAAAAUUAAAAUUAAAAACAAAAUAAGAUAAUAGGUCCUACUUUUAUGGAACAUAACUAUCCUGUUAUCUUUUAUUAAUUCUAAAAAUAAAAUAAAAAAGAAAAAGAAAACCAAUUGGCACAUGCGUGAGCAUGUGUCAAGGGGCUAGUGCAAACAUUAAGAAUUGAAAUUAUUAAUUAAAUGAGGAUAAUAUGGUAAAUUCACAAUUUUUCGUAUUAAAAAAAUUAAAAUUAAAAGAAAAUUCAGAUAAUGAAUCCUAUUUUUAUGGAACACAAAUAUUCAUUAUCUUUUUUAAUUCUAAAAUAAAUUUAAAUUUUUUUUAAAAAAAAACUCUCGCAUGCGCGAAAGCGCGUACAGAGAGACUAGUUCCCAACUAUGAAAAUAAAAUAAACUUCAUUGUGAUAUACUUAACCUAAGUUUAAUAUUCACUUUGUAAGAUGUCUUUGUAUUUAGUUCAAGCAUUUAUGCACAUCAUUAGAAAAUGAUAGGUCAACCAAUUGACCCCUGUCCAUGGCCCACAGCCCACAGCCCACAGCCCAUAAUUUGUAAGUAGGUAUAAAAAGCUAGAUAUUUCAAUUGUAUGGGUCAGGGCACUCUAGCCCACCCAAGGGGUGACUCAAGAUUCACCCUGGGUACUUAAAUGCCCUUUGUUUUUUUAUAUUUAAAUUCUCUCUUGAACAAAAAUAUCUUGAAUUUAACACAUUGGAUUGGAUAAAUAAAUUAGGCAGUUGAAGUUGAUUGGUAGAAGAAGAUAUUUUAUUUUUAUUUUUAUUUAAAUAAUGAAUUAAUUCGGAGGGUACAAUCGUCACAAGGGAAAAAGUCAAAUGGAAAGUUAUAGUUGGGACGACGAACCAAAACUGGCGCUUUUUCAUAGUGGAAUGCACACAUAAAAUCUUCCCACUCUCUCCACUUCGAUCCCCCACUUCAAUCUCCUUUACUGUUAUAUUUGAUUGAUUUCCAGAAGAACCCUAAAAGCAUUCUUAAGGUUCGGGUUCUUAUAUUCAAUUUUCCAAAUAUUCUGUGAAAUAAUUCUUCUUCUAGUAUGAUUUUCUCUCUCUUUUUCCCCUUAAGCUUCAUUUUGAAAUUGUAUAUGAUUUUCAUUAAACUAUUUUGUUUUCUUUUAGGGUUUUGGUGGUUGGAUAAAACCCAGAAUUGGGAAGAAAGCAGUGAGUCAAAGGUACCAGCUUUUUUUUACUUUUAUGCAUGGAUUUUAUAUUUUCGUUAGGAUUUUUAUUUUUAUUUUUAUGCGUACUAUGUUGUUGGGAAUUUUCUUUGUAAGUAGUGAAAGUUAGCCUUAUAAAGCUGUUCUUGAAUUCUUUUUUUAGGGUUUCAGGAACCCUAGGAUUUGAUUUUAAGUAUAGAUGGUGAAUUAACUCUGUUUAUACGUUGGUAGGUACGGUAUAUGUACGUAUAGUACACAAGUCGUGUGUUUUUGUGUGAAGUAAAUCGGAAUCAAUUGGUUUCUGGGGUUUAUGUUGCUAUGCAAUUUGACUCAGUGAGUUGAUGAGCAGAGGUGUGACCGUGUGAGACUUUUGAGUUGACUCUUGUCUUUUUACUUGAAGGAAAUUAUGCAAGGUUAUCAUAAAGGUCUAACCUUUGUUUGGUUUUGUUUGUUUUUUCUUUUGGGGUGUCGGUGUAUUGCGUAGUCUUUUGGGUAUGAACAGUUACAUGCGGUUUUCAGACUCUGGCCUUUUCAGUGAAAGGCUAAUAGUCCAUGCCAAGUGCAAUUCAUGCUUGUCCAAUUUAUAGAGGUAAGUUGUUGAGCAGUGCACUGGUCUAAUUGGUGAGUUGUGUAUGUAUCUGUUUCCAAAUAACAGUUUCUGCAUUUUCUUAUCAAUACUGAAUUUGAAACAUUUUGUCUUGGUUGUGCAAUGUUUAGAAUAAUGGGAAUUUCCUAUGGAAAUCGGUAAUUACGAUAAGAUUGAUUGCUAAUUGUAACAAAAUUGACUGGUUUAGGAUAUAAGAGUACUGGAAUAUGAUUAUGCUAGACCUCCUUGUGGGGGAAAUUUUGUUAAGGGUCUCUAAUGUUUGAUUUCAGGUGGAAGAGAUUUAUGUUUUUAUGGUGUGUUUACUAAUCAUGAAUUGGAAUUCUCAUCAGGAAUUGAAUUCCGCCUAUGGAGAAUUCCUUCGUUUACUUCACAUCAAGGAAUUGAAAAGUAAGCGGGGCCCACACAAAAUUAGGAAUUGAAUUCCUGAUUUUGGAGGAAUUCAAUUGCAGAAUGGGAUGUGGUAUUCUAAUUCCUGGAGAAUUCACCCAUUAGGAAUUCAUCUUUUUAACCCAUUAUAUCCUCGCACAAUUUUCAAAAUUCCAAAUAUGCCAUCUACUUAACCCAAAAAUGAGGACAUUUUAGUAAUUAAUACCUCUCCUACCCCAAUUCCACAUGGUUUAGUAAACAACUUCAAUAGGAAUUUGGAAUCUAACUUCUUUCAAUCCAUAUGGUUUAGUAAACAACUUCAUUAGGAAUCUGGAAUCUAAUUCUCUUCAAUCCAACUCCUACUCAAUUCAAUUCAUCCUCAAUUCAAUUCCUCAUAAUCCAAUUACGGAUUAGUAAACAUGCCAUUAUUGUUUUUGAAGAUUUAGUUUGACCGUAUAGUAUUAAUUGAUGGGGCUUAAGUUCUAUGGGUUUUACAUAUUAGAUAUUCAUAAUUUAUAGUCUUAUUUUUAGUGACACAGCUGGUCCUAAACCCCUUGAAAGGAGGAGGGUUGUGUUAAAAGUUUGACAUCCAGCACUUCUAUUUUGUCAGCUCACGAGCAUGAAUCUGGAACUCAAAAUCCUGGAGUUGAUAUUCAGCAGAGCAGUCUGCUUUUUAUUGGGUUUCAAAAAUUGAUUCUUGGAAUUUUAUACUUUCUAGAAUUUCUUAACAGUAGUGUUCAUAUUGAUUGUUUAUUUUGUCCUCUGCAGUGAAAGGGAGCGUAGCUGCGUAGAGAACUUCUUACUUGUCAACCUACACCAGUAUGGAUCAGCAGGGGCAUGGGCAUCCCACAACAAUGGGAGUGGCUGGUAGUGCAGCUCAAGCAUCCUAUGGUGUGAACCCAUAUCAGUCUGGCCAAAUGAUGGGGCUCUCUCCCACUGGAUCAGUUGGAUUGAUGCAAUCUCCUACUCAGCCGGCAGGUCCUCCAGCCUCUUCUCAGCUUGCACAACACCAACUAGCUUAUCAGCACAUCCACCAGCAACAACAACAGCAACUACAGCAACAACUCCAAAGUUUUUGGGCAGAACAGUAUCAAGAAAUUGAGGCGGUUAUGGAUUUCAAGAACCACAGUUUGCCAUUGGCCAGGAUUAAAAAGAUUAUGAAGGCUGAUGAGGAUGUGAGGAUGAUCUCAGCCGAAGCUCCAGUCAUAUUUGCCAGGGCCUGUGAGAUGUUCAUUCUAGAGUUGACACUGCGGUCUUGGAAUCACACAGAGGAGAACAAAAGAAGAACACUGCAAAAGAAUGACAUUGCCGCAGCAAUUACGCGGACUGAUAUAUUUGAUUUUCUGGUUGAUAUCGUCCCGAGAGAGGAUUUGAAAGAUGAGGUACUUGCGUCAAUCCCAAGAGGUGGGAAUCUUCCGGUUGGAAGUUCGACUGAUGGUGUGCCUUACUAUUACAUGCCUGCUCAGCAUGCUCCACAGGUUGGUGCUCCGGGGAUGAUAGUGGGAAAGCCUGUUAUGGAUCAAACUCUUUAUGGCCAACAGACACAUCCCUACAUUGCUCAGCCAACAUGGCCACAGCAACAGCAGCCGCACAAAGAUUCUUGAGUGAAAGUGUUGAUGGAGUAAAAAAUCAUUGUUUGUAAUUGAAGGCUUACAAUUUGAAGUGUUUAUCUUGGAUACGGUUGUUACACACUUUGCUUGUCAUUGCAGUUACAAAGUACUUGUUAUUGCUACAUGAAAAGAUUAUGUGGAACGUAUGGCUUAUGGUACUGUAGAAAAUUUAAAUUUGUGUUUGUAAUUGAAGGCUUACAAUUAGAAGUGCUUGUCUUGGAUACAAUACAAGUUAAACACUCUGCUUUAUAUCCAUUUGUUACAAUUACAAAGUGCUUGUUCUUGCUAUUUGUAAAGAUUUCGAAAAACUUGUGGGCUUCUGCUACUGUAGAAAUUUGUUUUGUAACAUCACUGCUUUUGCAGUAUAUGGAUUCACCCUCCUUUUUGUAUAAAAUUUUCAUCCCGAUCUCCAAAAUAAACAGAACGAUCGAAAAUGAGUGGAACUAACGUCUCUCUGGAUGUAAGUAGAUCCAAGUCUAUCAUCUGAAAUUCAAUGGCAUCAACGAACUGGACAGAAAUCCUCUAGACUGUAAUAGAGAAGGUAAAAUAUCAUACUUAACUCUAAAUCACACGAGAGAUUGUUCUAUUUCAGGGGUAACUACCUUCUUCCCAUGCGCUCAAUGAUAUCAGUAGUGAGGGUUGACCUUUUCUCAUCCUCAAAAGCAAGCAAUGCACCCCAACGUUGCGGGGUUUUGGGAACUGUAACAAUACAAAUUGGGUAAAAUCAAUUGUCAAACAUGGGGGCUGUAAGGAUUCAAAGAUACGAACAGAUACUAAGACUGUAAAACCUGAUACUCUCGAGUCGGCAUUUCUGAUAGCUUGACGGGCCCACGAUAGAAAUACAGCAACGCUGGAGUAACCAAAGAAAUGAGAUUUUUAUUUUAAAGUCAUCAGUACAAGAGAACAUAACAUCAGGUAAGCUCUCAAAAUCUGAGUUUUGGAGGUAGAAGCAUCACCUCAUGACUAUGGCAUUCACAACAAGGUCACCAGGAGUAGUAGUGAAAUUUGUAAUACUUUAAUGGAUCUCUCUCUCUCUCUCUCUCUCUCUCUCUCUCUCUCUCUCUCUCUCUCUCUCUUAUAAGCAUUUUAUGGUCUUGGGGUUAUGCAUUCUUAGAGAAAAAUAAACUGGAAAAGUAAGGAAGAAGAUAGCAAAUUCAGCACAAUGUUUGCCAUAAUGUAAAAACAAAAGCUCGAAAGAGAAUAAAAAACUUGCCUUCCAGAAAGUAUAUCACCCUGCCCAUCACAUCUUCGAGAACUACAGAUACUCACUAUUUUUACUGCAAGAAAAAUCUAAUGUGGUUGGCAAUAUUUCAAACACAACAAAUCAAUCAUGUUUUGCAUACUUCUGAGCAGCCCAACUUGAUUUUGAUAUUUACUUCACAACUCAAAACUUUCUGUACAAGGCGCUUGUAUUCAUUUACAUUUGGGGUGUCCAUCCUCGAAAUGAUUAUGCCAUCAGCUGACAAAUUUAUAUCUACAAUUUGUACUGAAAACUACACAUAAGAGAAAAAAGAAUGAUUUCAUACACUCAUAAGGAUGAUGGAGACCCUUGUGAUUGCAUACCCCAUCUAUGGAGCAUCAGUGUACUCACGACACCUGCCGAUAACAGCUAUCUUUCCUGAGAAGCAUGGAGAGGUAAAUAUAAGCUAGAUUUUUCUACAAGAUUGGUAAAACAAGACAACAAAUUCAAGUUGAAACCAGAAAGGAAGCAAGUCAGUUCCCUAGAAUCAACAUCAAAAUGCUGCAGUAUUCCUUAGUUUUCGGUCAUUGUCUAUAUUACACAGUAUGAAGCACAACAAUCAUCAUUGACAAAUAAGUACACAAAGUUAAAGAAAUGACAUUUCCCAGCCUGAACCUUGCGUCGAUUGGGAUCAAAUCAAGGGUUGGAGUGAUUGCUCUCAGAUCGUUCACAGCAUCAGCCUCCAAAGAGUGAAAAUAUGUGCCGACACAAAACGGGUACAAAUUACUGUUGGUCUAAUUUUAUUUUUUAUUGAAAAAAAACAGUGCCUCUCUUGCCAGAUAACCAUUUUGUUGAACAGAAUCCAAAUUCUAGUAGCUAAGCAUAGGCUAGGCUAAGACAGGCAGACAAAAAUAUAAAGCAAAUAACAUAAAAGGAUUACUAAAACUAACUAUCACAUCGUCAAGUCCUAUUCCUCCAAAAUGGAUGAUCUUGAUCUUGAUCUCAAUCAAUCUGAGUUUACGUUCAGUCGACCACAGAGAGAGUUUGAUACUCUUUGUUGGCAAUGGCUGCUUCCAUGAUCUGAUGCCGGCUAAUUUCCCCACCAUUAUCCAAGAAGGACUUGAUCAAUGUGUUCGAGUUUCCCCUCAAGAGGGUCACUCCUGGAUGAGGUUCUUCUACACGAUGCAUAAACCCCGCUAUGUCCCAAAUAUUCCAAAACAAAAUGUGUGGCAUCGCAUCAUCCCCGUAACCUUGCUCCUUAAACUUGCUGCGUUUUGCCUCAUACAAAGUCUUCCAGGAUGUGCUGCAGCCACCAAAUCUUACGGAGUCGGUGAACAGAAACACCUUCUUGAUCAUCUGCUCCGCCUUCAAGUUAUUGUUCACAGCCACUUCCAGAAUCAAAUCACACACCUGAUCAAAAUCAACACCCUGGCUGUAGCUGUUGCUGCAUGCCCUGAUCACAAAGUCGUACCUGGACUUGAGAUCACUGCCUUGUAUCGAAUGCAGCAGAGGCAGCUUAUCACGCAAUGGACCCAGAGUGAUCACCUUUCCUUUCCAUGCCGGCUCUUCACUCAAUUCAGACACCAAAAUUCCCAAACUUGCCGCCAAUUCUGUGAUUGAUGCUGCGCUCAUGGCGUAGGUGAUAUUACACACUGCCAAGCAGUUCUUAAAUUUGUUCUCCUCCCCUUGGUAUAUGUUCUCCAUCAUUUCCUUCCACUGAAUCUCAGCUGCUUCCCCAACAUCCUUAUCUUUUACAUAUCUUAUGAUAUAAUGUGGAAGCAAUGUAUCCGACUUUAUGAUGCUGCCGCCUGCUUUCACCUCCUCCAAAUACUUCUUGAUCACACAGGGCAUUUGAUUGAGAUAAAGACGCAUGCGUUGACGACUAUACUCCGUCAAGGGCUCCAAAAACUCCUUCCUUAGCCGUUCCCAUUCUUCUAUACGCAUUUAUUAAAUACAGUUUCAUUUAGAAUUCAGACAAAUCCAAAACACUCAGAGCAUCUCUCUUGUCACUUUAAUUACUUUCUGCAACUAAUAAUGCAUAAUAACUUUAAAUUUGGCCAAUAUAAUUUCAAAGUCCAACAUGAACACACUGUCUUCCAAUUAAAGAGGUAACACAUGAUGUCAUUAAAAGUAUAACACACUUUUUUGAAGCUUGGAGGAGGAGCACAGUACUGUGGCCAGCUAUAGAUAACACCUGCCUCCUCCCAUAGUACGUAAUUGGGAAGCUGCAACUAUCAAUCUGUAGGAGGCAGAAGAUUCUUCCAAUUUGAAUAAGAAUUAAACCAACUGAAAGUCCUAUAUGCGUACAAUUUCAAACAUCCCUUUAACAAUUUAACAGAGACUUUGAGUUCCCAAAAAAACAAAAAUCAAGUCAGGUUUUCUAUUUUUAACUUGAACUGGCUCAAUCUGUAGCCCAUGAGAUGCUAAUUAAUGAAGAAGGUUCAUAAGUAUAUGCUACGGACCAACAUCUUACUUGACUUAUUAAAUUAGACAAUAGUCCAACAUGUUAUGUCUUAUACUGACUUAUAAUAACUAAUUAUUAAUACCAAUCUAAUCCAAUUCAAUCCAAAAUGUGUGAGACCUGAUAGUUUGAGGCUUUUUGCUUUUUUUUUAUAAACUUUGUUGGAGGUAAAAUUUUAUGCAACUCUCUACAACAAUUGCUUCCAUUGAGAGAGAUGCGUGUAUUUAUCUCAUAUUCAUAUAGGGUGCAUGUUUUUUUUCUUUCUUUUUGAUUUUUUUGGGUCAAACAUAAGUUGUGCAUGUUAAGUAACUUUGAAAGGGUAAAACUCAAUGAUACACUUUCAUCAUUGCAUUUAAAUGAUCUACAUCUAUAAAAAUCAAUUUAUGCUAUGAUUAAGAAACAACAAAAAUCUUCUCAUUUGAUUUGUAUUGGGUAGUUUCUUCUGUCUUCAAACAUGUCUUUUAUCACCAAUGCCAUGUGUAAGAUUGUAAUCUCUGCAAUACAGAAUGCCACUACCCAUGUACUCACCGAAAAAAUCAGGGUCAUUGAAAGCUUGAACAAGCUACCACAUUUGUCAGUAACAAUCUAUUCUCAUUGGAGGAAGAAAUCAAGUUAAACGAGUGAGUGAUUUAUAUAUAUAUUUUAAGGGGGUGGAUCCGUAGCACCAUGUUUUUGACACAAGUUUUGACACAAAUUUUAAACCCUUAGAUUAGACUACAAUAAAUGGCUGAGAUUAAAUAAACUAAUUCUUUCAACUUAAAAUAAUUAUAAUUUAAUUUAAUUAACUUUGCUAUUCAAUUUUCUCUCUCCACAUUUAUAUUUUCACUUCUUCCUAAAAGCAUCAACAUUCUAUCUCACGACAUCUUCUUCUUCUUUUUCAUGACUUUCCCUUUUUUUUACUUCUCUCUUCUUUUUGCCCACACACUAUUUUCCUCCAUAACAAGAAACAACGAACCCAACCCAUAUAGCAAAAUCAAAUACCCAGUAGGGAAGAUUGACGUAGGGAGGAGGAAGGUUGAUCUUUGUAAUUUUUUUUUUCGUUUUUUUUUUUUCUGGUGCUGCUAAAUUAAAACCUCUAUUUCCCCUUGCUGAGAAAAACAAAAAAAGGAUCAAGCAGUUAGUUGAUUGAGAUUCAUUUUGAUCAUCCCCAAUGAAAUUUCAAGAACCUAAGAGCAUGAUUACCCUGCCCUCCAUGGAACUCCCCCAAAUUCGUUUUGAUUCUGAGUGGAGAGAAAGUAAUUGCAUAUAACUAGCAGUAGGCAAAUGGAGAUUUUUGGCACAUCGAGGCUGUGGAGGAGAUUACGCUGGGCAUGGAGGAAGGGGGAUGUAGAAUUUGGAGACAGUCCAAUUCAUAAUUAUUAGAUUAAAAUAAUAAUAAUUAGAAUAAAUGUAUUAUUUCCAAGAUAAUAAUAAAUUAGCUGUGAGAUUUAAUCUGAGCCAUUAAUAGUGCUUAAAUCUAAGGGUUCAAAAUUUGUGUCAAAAGUUGUGUCAAAAAUAUGGUGCCACGGAUCCGCCCCCAUAUUUUAAUUGUGUUAAAAAAAAUAUAAAUACUUAUAUAUUUGUUGUUAACAGGGAUGCUAAAAUGGAAGGGUAUGGACAUGUGAUAUAAACCAAGUCAAAGGCCAUCGUAGCAGCAACACCACCAUUGACAGGGAAGAGUCCAUUGCAGUAGCAGCAGUUAUAUGUUUUUAUGUUUUAUGUUUCAUUUUUAUAAGUUUAUUAUAAAUUAAGAUGGAUGCGACAUAAAAAAUACGUUUAUCCUUUAAUUUUAAUGUACUCUGGAUGAGUCUAUUCUAGUUUUAAUAUGUUAACUUAAAUUUAAGAGUCUAGCAAAAGGAAACAAACUUAAAUUUAAGAGAGAUGUGUGUUUGGUUAGAGUUUAUUAAUCUAAAGUGAACAACAUGUCGUUUUAUUGAAAUAUGUAAGUGUCAUUCAAACAACUUUUAAACAAAUAUACUAUAACGAUGGUUAAGAUUAAAAAUAUAAUUACAAUUAGGUUGGAUUAUAUUUGUAUCUUUUAAAAAUCAAUGAGAGGAUGACAUUGAUAACUUAUUAUUGAACAUAAACAUACAAGUGUCGUUUAUACUAAUAUUUUAAAUAAAUUAAGAUGCAUUCAUUAGUUAUGUCGUGUGUUUUGGCUCAAUUGACCACAUAGUAUAAGUGUGGGUUCCACACAUUAAUUGGUCAAUGGUCAUCAUCUACAAUUUGCCAAAAAGAUGAUAGUAGCCAAGCCAGGUAGCAUAAUGGGAAAGGGAAUUGUAAGAGAACCAAACCCAUGGACUGCAUGCACUGCACAGAGGAUGUCAAAGCUCACUGAGGCUUGGUGAUAGCUUUGGUGAAGCUUCGCUUACUGUUCUUCAACUUCUCUUCAUCAUCCUAGUCUUGCCGUUGAUGAUGAGGAUAAGAUUUUGUGGUCUCCUUAGGGUUUUGUAGACAAGAAGAACAAGGUGGUGCACUUAGCAUCAAGCGGACGGUCUCCAAAUUCUCCCCUUUGCCGUGGGAUGGUGGUUUCUUGGGCUUCCCUUGAAUUGCCAUGUCGUGGUCAUCAAGUUUGACGUCGUCGAACAGCUUGGAAGGAUUGAAAGUCACGGUUUCAAGGAUGAAGACAGCUUCAAGGUCGUCCAGCGGAGGGCAAGCGAGGCCACCAAAGUCGUCAACAGGAGGCUCUUGCUCGCAUCGCUGUUCCUUCAAAGCCUGAUCGCAAACGCACUUCAUCUUGUCUGAAAGAGAAAAGAUUAUAGCAAAAUUUGGAAACCCUAAAUCACAGUAGCUAGUGUUUACAAAAGCCCCACACUACAUAUGUAUUUAUAGUUUCCUGUUUCCUAAUCUCAUUGGGGGAACGAAUAUUUUAUUAUAAUUAAUUAUAAUGUACUUUUAAAUUUUUAUUAGACAUAAUAAAUUAAACCAACCAAAGUGCCACUGUCAAAAAGCACCCAAACGCAAACGGCCCACUCGUGUGUUUGUGUUGUGUGCUUCAGUUUGCUUUACAACUACGCAAGCAAAGUUGGAGUUCUUUUGCCGGCUCUUCACUCAAUUCAGACACCAAAAUUCCCAAACUUGCCGCCAAUUCUGUGCUUGGUUCGCCCAUGUAAUUGAUGUUACACACUAAGCAGUUUUUAAAUUUGUUCUCCUUCCCCUGCUUUUGCUUUAGGUAAAUGUUCUCCAUCAUUGCCUUCCACUGAAUCUCAGCUGCUUCCCCAACAUCCUCAUCUUUUACAUAUCUUAUGAUAUGAUUUGGAAGCAAUGCAUCCGGCUUUAUGAUGCUGCCUCCUGCUUUCACCUCCUCCAAAUACUUAUUGACCACACAGGGCUCUUGAAUGGAAUCCAUGCAUGCGUCGACUAUACUCGGUCAAGGGCUCCAAAAACAAUGGCAGAACCAGGAAUUUUUCAACGGGUGAGCUAGCUAAAGUUAUUUGCUUAAAAUUUAAUGAUUAUUUUUUUUGGUACUUACAAUUUCUAUAGUCUUUCUAGAAAUAAAAAUAAACAUUAAAUCAUAUAAACCAAGCUAGUUCAUAACUCUAUAGACUAAUUUUCAAUUAGUUUUAACAUAAACCAAAUAGGGUUUAACACUAUUGUGGAUUGAACAUCUAAGGCUUUUUACUUAGAUUGACCUUAGGUUUCUUCAUGCAUUCAUAUCAUACGUGAAAAAUUGUUUUAUGUAAAAAUAUUGACUAAGUAUGUAAAUGAGUUUUCAGAAUAAUCAUUUUCUCAAGAUAAUUUUUGGCGGCUUUUAUUCCUCACACAUCAAAUAAGAAAACUUAAUUUUAUGGAUUUUAGUAUGAAGUAUAUAUUGACUUAAUGAGCCAUCAUUUUUAGCCUAAAUCGUAUUUUGCACUAAAACCGAUUUUUCAUAUUUUAAUUUGGUGGGAAUUUGAUUUUCUAGUAUUUUUAUUUGAAUCCAAAUGGGGGGUACUUUCUUAUUUACAUUGUAAACUUAACCAUUUACUUAAAUGUUGAAAAUGAAAAUAAGAUAAUCUGUACAACGACACUGACUAGGCUAAUAUUGAAAAUAAAUUAGAUAUAUAGGUUUUAUAUUUUUUUCUUAAAAAACCACAUUGAGCUACAGCUCACUGGUUCUGCCCUUGUCCAAAAACUCCUUCCUAAGUCGUUCCCAUUCUUCUGAUUGAUCCGAUUCUAACGGGAAAAGCCUUCUUCCAAGGCUUUCAACAGCAAAAUGGCGUGGGCGGCGUGGUCUUCUUCAGGGCUCCCGGGAGUGCAGCAUUCUGCAGCCUGGCUAAUGAAAAGCAGAGUAGUACCAUCUUCUUUAUCAUCAUUUUCGGAUUCCAAUUCCAUCCUUAGCCUGUGCUGCUUCAAUUUGUCAAUAUCAGACUUCAACUGCUCCACUAAGAGGUCCAUAACCCGGUCGUGCAACAACUUAUAGUGCGGGUCACGGUGGAGCCUUUACGCCGCAGAGUCUUGGGGUGGUUGUGUGGAGAAUCUCGACAAGGUCCCACAAACAAGCUAUCGAGCGGUUGAUGGAGCCGGCAAAGGAGGUGAUGUUGCAUAAUAGCGUCUUGGGUUGGUUGUGGUGGAGCCAGAAUGCAGCCGCGUAGAAGGCUUCCGGAAAAUGUUUUAUAUCCAUUUGUUACAGCUACAAAGUGCUGGGUCUUGCUAUUUGAAAAAGACUCUGAAAAACUUGUGCGCUUCUGCUACUGUAGAUAAAUUUUGUGUUUUUCCUUCUCCAGGCAAGUCCAGAAGUCUUCCUUAGAUGGUAUCCUUUCAGCUCUGUACGCAACAAGGAUAUUUAUCGGGGUAGAUUUAUGCUACUUUUUUUGCGUCAUAUGGCUGUUCAUAAUAAGAAGUGAAAUAAAAUAUAACAGAGGUUUCUGGCUUUAGAAACAUCACUGCCUUUGCAGCAUAUCUUAUAGACUCAUGAAACAUUCAUCCUUAUUAUAUGUCAUAACCCUCCUUUUUGUAUAGCAUUUUCAUCCAGAUUUCCCAAAAAAGAACAGGCAAUAACAGCACUCUCUUUAUAUACAAGACAAAGUCUGGAAAGGUGUGAUUUAAUUUAAAGGAAGAAAAUUUGGUUCUUCUGGCAACUGAACUAAUGUCUCUCUGAAUGUGUAGAUCCAACUCUAUCAUCUGAAAUUCAACGGCAUCAACGAACUGGGCAAAUAUCCUCCAAACUGCAAUAGAGAAAGUUAAGUCUUACACAUAACUCUAAAUCCGCACAUGAAAAUCGUUUUAUUUUAGGGGGAACUACCUUCUUCCCAAGUACUCGAUGAUAUCAGUAGUGAGGGUUGACCUUUUCUUAUUGUCAAAAGCAAGGGAUGCAGCCUUUCUCAUUAAAGCCGACCCAGCAAUGGACCCCAACAUUGCGGGGUUUUUGGAACUGUAACAAUACAAUUGGGUAAAAUCAAUUGUCAAAAAUGAGGGCUGUAAGGAAUCAAAGAUAUGAACAGAUACUAGGACUGUAAAACCUGAUACUCGAGUCCCCAUCUCUGAUAGCGUGACGGGCCCAAGAUAGAAAUACAGCGACACUGGAGUAACCAAACACAUCAGAUUUGUAUGUUAAAGUUAGUUAUCCAUCAGUACAACAGAACAUGACAUUCGGUAAUCUCUCAAAAUCUGAGUUUUAGAGGCAGAAGCAUCAGCUAGUGUCCAUCACCUCGUGACUAUGGAAUUCACAACAAGGUCACCAGGACUAGUAGUGAAAUUUGUUAUACUCUAAUUUAUCUCUCUCUCAUUCUCAUAAGCAUAUUAUGGUAUUGGGGUUAUGCAUUCUUUUGGGAAAAAUAAACUGGAAACCUUAGGAGAAGAUAGCAAAUUCAGCACAUAUAAACUCGUCAAUGUAUGCCAUAAUGGUUUUUUUUUUUCAGAAAUAAAAUCGCAAAAGUCAGAAUGAAAAACUUGCCUUCCAGAAAGUAUAUCACCCUGCCCACCACAUCUUCGAGGAGAACCGUAGAUGCUCACUGAUUUGACUGCAAAAAUAAUCUGAUGUCAGAGUUCAAUAAUUUGAGGUUUCCAUAUCUGGGAAUGCAAUAGGGAUGUUUACAAAACCUAAAGGAAAGGAAAUAAAAAGUCUUGGAUUUAGUUGGCAGUAUAUCAAAAAACCACAAAUCAUGUGAGCUGUAGAACUUUUAGAAAAAACAAAAAACAAAAAAAAAGAAAGACAAAUGGAACCCUUCUCAUGGCCCAGUUUCAAGUCAAAAAUCAUCUUCAUGGACACAAAACAUAAGACGUACGCCAAGUUCUCAACUUCAUGUCACUUUAAUCAAGGUGUUAAUGGUUCAACUGUUGGUCUAGUGUGUUACACGAAAUGCACUAGCCGACUGGCUAAGUGGCAACCAUACCAGCAGUAUCCAAUAUGCUUAUCUACAUUUCCCAACUGAGAUGCGAAAAAAGAUAAAUUCAUGGAAUAUUAACAUUAUUUAAGCAAAAGCUUCACUAUUUACCAUCUCAACACACAACAUACUGGCAUAUAUGGUUAUAUACCUGUCUCACCAUCACUUAUGAAGUCAGAUUUUCCUUUCCUAAGCAUAGUUACACCACCAAUCCUGACAGUGAAAGGGUCCACACUUCAAUAAGUUCCAUAAAACUCGAUAAUCAUUGGAUGGAAACAUACAAAGACAAAUGACAAAAAAAAAAAAAAAAAAAAAAUCUGAAAAUAUUUUAUAGCAUGGGACAAAAUACAUUAUAAAGAAAAAAGCCUUAGUGUGAAGUGGAAAUGAGGGAAUUAUUCAGAAGCUGAUUUAACAUACUAUUCUGCACAACUUCAUCUACUUCCCAUUUUGAUUUAUAAAUAAUCAGAUGGUUUAAGACCCCGAAGGAAUGCCAGAUCAACCUUUGCUGCCUGUACAGAUGCUAAAACACAGACAUACGGUGAAUGCAAGCCAACACGAUUUUGAUACAUACUGAUUAUGACAAGUAUGUAUUUGUAAAACAUCCUUACUAACUUCUGAACCAAAUAAGUUCUUAAUAUUUUAUCCUGAGAUGUAAGUAUAAGAUUAAGCACCCGCCAACACAAUACAAAAAAGUCUGUUCACCUUUUUGCAAGAGAUAGUAGUUGCUCAUGAGCUUCUUCAUCAUUUACUUCACAACUCAAAACUUUCUGUACAAGGCGCUUGUAUUCAUUUACAUUUGGGGUCAGCACAGCCAAAGGAUAUCCACUUAUAAGAUCAAGAGAGUUUGUAACAAGAAAGAGUCCAUCCUGGAAAAGAUUAUGCCAUCAGCAGACAAAUUCAUAGCUACAAUUGUACUGAAAACUACAGAUAAGAAAAAAGAAUGAUUAAAUACACCAUAAGGAUGAUAGAGACACUUGUGAUUGCAUACCCCAUCUAUGACAAUUGGGACAUUGGACUGCCUUGCAAGCUUUAUGAUUUUGCUCACACAGUCCUGCAUUAUGAUAUUCGAUCUUAGAAACAUUUUGGAUGGGAUUUGGUAGAAAUUAUAACUACAAUACCAGUCGUGCAUCAUACAGAAAAUUAAAGUGUUGAAGAUGUUUAGUACAUGUCAUAAUCAAACACUACACUAGCCUAAGACAGCUCCUCAAGAAACUGCACAAACAAAAAGCUAACCAGAAGAAAUGGGUCCCUUCCAAGGCCUGGACCAAUGACAAGACAAUCAAAUCUUUCCAUCCAUUUAGCAACUUCAGCAAGAACCUUUCCUGAGAUGAUACGUUUUUCAUCAUCCCUAAAAAACAAAAAAACAAAAAAAUCAAUUCAAAAAAUUAGCAGCUCUUUCAAUAAUAAAGCUCAUAUACUGGUUGGACAUAUGAAAUUGUUAUGAAAAAUAAAUCACCUAACACCGUAUGAUUCUUCCAAAACUGGGUGUACAAUCAACUCAGGACUGUAGCUUUUUAUGACUGCAGCUGCAUCUUUCGUACAAAAAACAUGGGAUAGAUCUGCACCCUGAAAGGGGAAGAAUAUAUUUUUGUUCCACCAUAUUAGCAAGCCAAGCAUAACAAAAAACAUAAAUCACUUGUUUAUCCCAUUUCAGUCUAGAAUAAGCUACAUUCUUGAUUGAAUCCAGCCAACCUUUUUAUUUUCAGUUUUAAAUUAAAAAGCAGGACACUAACAAUUUUUAAUGCUGAGAUAGCUGCAAAAUAUGGAGCACCAGUGUACUCACGACACCCGCCGAUAACAGCUAUCUUUCCUGAGAAGCAUUGAGGGGUAAAUAUAAGCUAGAUUUGACUAGAAGAUGAUUGGUAAAACAAAUAACAAAACCAAUUCAAGUAAAAACCCGAAAGCAAGCAAGUCAGUUCCCUAGAAGCAACAUCAAAAUGCUGCAGCAUUCCUUAGUUUUCAGUCAUUGCCUAGAUUAUACAGUAUCAAGCAAAACAAUCAUCAUUGACAAAUAAGUAUACAAAGUUAAAGAAAUGACACUGGUAGCAUAGUGUGCACUUACCAGCCUGACCCUUGUGUCUAUUGGGAUCAAGGGUCGGAGUGAUUGCUCUCAGAACGUUCUCAGCAUCAGCCUCCAAAGAGGCUCCACUGGUGAAUUUUAUUCCUUGCAUUCUCUUCUGAUGGGUGUUAGUGUUCUGAUCGCUGUAAUCUCCAAGACACCUUAUCAAAAACUGUUGCCUUCUCAACACAGGAGACGAAGCCAACAUAUAAAUUGCACCAAACCCAGAAUUUAUUCCAUGUUUUAUUAACAUCAAUGACCAAGCACCACACUUCGCUACAACUAAAAACCCAAAAAAAGAAAGAAAACUAUCAUAAGAUGAACUUACCCAAAAAUUUAUCAAAUUGGUGAACCAUGAAGAAGAAACUGCAGAUACAUACCGAUACAAGAACUGCGAAAAUCAACGAAAUGCGAAGCCUGUAAUGAAUCAAGCUAAUUUUUUUCCUAUUUUUUUAAAAUAAAAAAUUUCUGCUGAGUUAACGCACUCAAAACGGUGAAAUCGUUCGGCAAAAUUGUUGGUUUUUUGGGCUGUGGAAGAAGAUAGAGAGUGUACACGUUGGCAAACUUAAGUGGGCCCGUAUUAUGACAGUCAAAAGUUCCACCGAAAUCAGGAACGUAUCCAGGAUUUUAAAAUAGCGUGACUUAAAUUUACCUUUUCUUUGCUUUCUCAGUUAACAACAACAAAUAGAAGCACAAAUUCAUCCCAAUAAAAAAUGUAUGUAACACGCAUCCUUAUAACAAUUUUCCUUUUAUGAGGGAAAAGCCAGGAAAAUCAACAACAAUUAGAAAUGUAAAAUGAAAUAUUAAACUUACCUGAGUGCUGUAGCUUCUAGAGAAUGGCUCAAUUGAUCCAAAAAGAAAAAUAAAGUAACAGUGGAAGAGAAUAAGGGAGAAGACGUGAAAAGAGAUGGAUAACAAAUGUAAAUUGUCAAGUUAACGAAGGUUAUUUUGGGUAGUUUGAAAAAUUCAUUAAACACCCAUCACCUCCUGAGACUAAUUUCCGCUUUCGCUCCUCAACACCCACUUCUCCAAAUUGCUUUGGGUGACAGCAAUUAUUCCAUAAAAGUGAUUUUCAAACUUAAAUUUUGAAAAGCCCAACUUGUUUGGUAAAUUAUGAGAAAAUUGUUUAUUGUUAAAAAUUGAUAUGAGAGAAAGCUAUAAGGGAAAGCAACUAAUGAUGUACUUUCAGUUUUUAAUUAUGCGGGAAUCAGUUUUGAAGAGACGCUGGGUUUUAUAAACUUCUGAAAAUACCCCAAACUAUUUCACGCAAUCUCUUCUCUUCGUGUGUUUUCUCCUUCGCAUCCCUUUACUUAUGCACGCCAUCUCUUUCACGGAGUUCUACUUCUAUUAAAUCUCUUAUAUUCUUCCCAUUGUUUUUUCUUGUUGAGUCAAUUGAAGCACACUCCUGAGAAGUCACAAGACUCAGGUAAGAGACAUAUUAUAUUUAUUUCUUCUCAAUUUCAUUCUUCCCUCUUUCUCUUUAAUUUCUAGGGUUUUAACUUCAAUACUUAUUGCUGUUGAUUUUUAUUUGUUUAUUUUUUCUGUUCCUGUUUUUGUUUAUUUGUUUCUUUGAUAGAAUAUUUAUUUUUAAUGGAAUAUAUUGGAUUUAACUUGAAACCUUAGUUUAGAGCAUUUGGAUACAAAUAUUUAAUUUUCAACAUAAUACUUUAUUUUUUUUAUAAUUAAAAUAAUUUUUAGGGUGUCAUGGAAACAUAUUUAUACAAAGAAAAUAUAUAUAUAUAUAUAUAUAUAUAUUAGUCUGGAGUCAUUGGUGCUGGAGGAGUAAUCCGCGAUGAUAGAGGGAAUUGGAUUGGUGGUUUUGUGGCCAAUCUAGGGAGUGGUGACAUCCUAGCAGUUGAAAUAUAGGGGCUGUUCUUUGGUUUGAAACUUUUUAUCCGAAGGGGCAUCUCGAAUUUGCGUAUUGAAAUGGACUCUGCGACUACAAUCCUACUUCUCCAAAAAAUCUUCUCUCUUUGUUCUACAUCCAAUGGCAUCUUUGUUGUCCAAUUGCUACACUUUUAUGCGACAAAUGGGUAAUUGUGUGAUUAACCACAUCUACAGGGAUAAAAAUAGGGUGACUGACUGCUAAGUGAAGGGGAGCUAUAAUUUUGAUUUGGGGUUUGUUGUGCUUGAUGAGAUUCGUAGUUGGGUUGAGGCUACGUUUGAUGAUGAUUUGUUAAGAGUUCCUAGAGCUCGUACUGUCUCUGUCAUUUAGUUUUUGUGUGUUUAGGGGUUAAUCCCCACCAUUUUACCACAAAAAAAAAAAGUUCUUUCCCUUUUAUCAAACACUUUAACAAAAAAGUCAUUUCAAUAUAAUGCAUUUUUUAGUCAUUAUAUACAGCUCACAGUACUUUUACAAAAAAAUUUACCAAACACUUAGAAAACUGAUUAUUGUACCAAUAACUUCUGUGGGCUUUGUGGACCUCCGUAACCUUCCACACCACAAUCCCUUGUGCAAGCCCCGUAAACCACAUGAGCUUGGUAGGUGAUUGACAUAUGAAAAAUGUAUUAUUUGCUUGGCAUGGCAUGCACACUGUUUCUAUAUUUAUUUAAUGAAUUAAUUCCCAAAAUACAGCUUGGAUUAACGCAUGACCAACAUUAUAUAUUAUAUUGGGCUUUAAAUGUCUUUGGGCUUCUUGUGACUUUUUGGGCCUCAACAAUAGCUCCAAUUCUUGAAAUCCUAAUUUGAUAAUGACUCGUUCACCUAAAGGGAUGAGUUUCACGCUGGUGUUGUUUCGCGAAGACCACAGUUGUGGGCCAAUUGUUGUUCAUGGGUCAAUCAAAAUAUCAAGGGCCCGUAAACAGAUUAUUGGGUUGUAUGCCCAUUAAUUCUCAAAAGUCCAAAACAUGUAAUGAGUGAUCAAAUAAACACUCAUUAAAUUUACGGAGGCGCCACCCAAGUUGCCUAUUAUAUGAUUAAUAGAUGAAUUUUAAAAUCCUCAAAGCCAUAUUUGGGUCCAAAUGCAAAUAUCAAUUGUAGAAAAUUAGUCGGUUCAUCAAAAUUGCCCAUUAUUUUUCUUGGACAUUGACAACAAGGAACAUGGUACAAAACCAUCCAAUUUUUCCCAUUGGUUAUCUAUCUAUGCAAAUUUCAAUGAGAUUAAAUUCAAAUUUCUCAAACACAAAUUCUCAAUUAGUGGGCCACACUUACCCAUUAAUUUUCAAUUUUUCCCAUGGGUCAUCUACCUAUGAAAAUCUCCAAAUUGUCUUAAAGACACAAAUUCUAAAUUAUUGGGCCACAUUUACCCAUUAAUUUCCAAAUUUUGGAACUACGUUGGUUUGAUCCCAUCAAGGGUACGUAGAUAGUCUAGCAUCCCAAUAAACGCAACCGCAACCAAAUUUGAAUCACUAGUUACAUCAACUAAAUUCCCACAAAUCAAAUAUCCAUCUUCACACAAAUCAAUUCCGAACUACGUUGGUUUGAUCCCUUCAAAAGGGUACGUAGAAUCAAUCUAGAUGCAACCGUCCAAAUCUUAAAUCCAGACAGAAUCAUUGGUUUAUUCUUUAUCAAAUUCGCCCCAAAUACAAUUCAAAAUUGAAUUGUUGGUUUAUUCAACUAAAUUCACUCAAUACAUUUCAAAUCAAAUUUUUCUUACAAUGAGUCAUUUAUUCAUUGUAAUUCUUUGAACUACGAGUGGCUUGAUUCUUGCAAGGGAUACAUGGGCACCAUGAGGUUCGACUUAGGGGCAGCCGCAAAACCAAACACACACGUUAUGUUUCUUUAUGAUGAAAUUAAGAGACACCGCGUCACAAAUGGGUCAAACAUAAAAUAAUAAAAUUCCAUUAUUUAAUUAGUGGUGGUGAAAUUAUGUUGGGAAGUUCACAUUUUUCUUCAACAUAGUAAGGGUAAAAAGUAGUCACAUUUUUAAUGUGGUACUAUUCCUCUUUUAUAGAAAAAAGAGAAUGAAUGUUUGUCUAAAGUUUCAAUGUGGGACUUUGGACAAAUCAUUGUGAUAGUGAUUCGUGUCCCAAGGUCUAGGUUAUGCAGGCUUGGCCUUCAGCAACCACUUUCAUCAAGUUGUUGCCUCAUCAUAAGAAGAUGGAUCUUCGAUACUUUUGGUUAUGGUGACGUCAUCAAUACUUUAAGUUAGAGGCUUUCUUUGGAAUGUAUCCUAUUCUGCAGUUUGUGGGUCUGUCUCUAUACCAGUCCCUCAAUACUAAAUGUGCUCAAUUAAUUAUGGUACGAACACCAAAUUAGCAAAUUUAACCAAAUAAUUUUAAUAAAGAUCUUAAUGGUUCAACUGUUGGUCUAGUGUGUUACAUGAAAUGCACUAGCCGACUGACUGAGUGGCAACCAUCAUACCAGCAGUUUCUAAUAUGCUUAUCUACAUUCCCAACUCAGACGUGCAAAAAUAUAUAUUAAUAUUAUUGAAGCAAAAGCUUCACAAAUUACCUCAACUCACAACAUACAUGUAUAUAUGGUUACAUACAAAUUAACAUUUUUUUCGUUUUUAAUUUUAAUUUUAAAAUUUUUUUUUACCAACACACGGAAGUGAAAACAGUGAAAUGGUUCGGAAAAAUUGUUGGUUUUUCGGAUAUGGAAGUAGAAUUGGCAAUGGAUCGUGUUGUAUUGGGUUCAUAUCGUGUCAAGAAUGCUCAAUCCAAAUUCAAACCAUUUAAUGAACUUGUCAUGUCAGAUUCGAAUCUUGUUAAACAUGUUACCUAUUUAAUAACCUAUUUAACACAUUAUUAAACAUGUCACAUGUUUGAGAGGAGGUUGAAUUCAAAUAAAGAAUGAGGAGAUCAACUUAAGGUAAGGAUUUUCAUUUGGGUGGGUUGAAAUCUACUACCAUAGGGUACACAGUGGAAUAGAAUAGAACAUAUUUAUUAUUAUUAAUAAAAAUAAAAAAUUAAAUAGUAAACGUGUCAAGUAGGUCAUUUCGCGGGUUGAUUAUAAAUUCACAUGUUUAUUAAACGUGUCAUGGCAGGUUGAUCCGAAUUUGAUAUGCGAUUUUAAUCUUGCGGGUUAAUCUGCUAAUUUUUUGUGGUGGUUCUGAGUCGUUCAUCUGGUCUUGUCGGAAAUUGCCGCCCCUAUGUGGAAGAAAAUUGAGCGUCCACACUCGCAAACUUAAGUGGGUCCUACAAUGGCUCUCAAAAAUAGAGAGUGAAACGACAGCGUUUGGUUUUAUUUGCUUUCCUGCUUUGUAUCUCUAGCAGCUUUUUAGUUUGGGACCUGUGGGAAGUUAAGUUGGGGCUGAAAGAAGAAGGAAGAGAAUGAGGGAGAGGACGAAAGUGAAUGCGAUGAGAUCGGGAGUUGUGGUGCUUGGAGCACUGGCAUUUGGGUACCUUACGCUACAGCUUGGGUUCAGGCCCUUCCUUGAAAGAGCUCAACUUGCUGUUGAUGAGUCUGAGCCGCCAUCUUCCUCCUCCUCAGAACAACAACAGCUUAACUCAAGCUCAACCCGCCACUUCUAAAUAAACAAUACCCACUACCCAGAGCCUCACAACUCUCACUUAUUUUGCAAUUUUGUUUUCUUUUUUUCUUUUGUUGGAUUGGGAAGUUUUACUGCACUGCGCAAAAGGGUUUCUUGCUGACCCAGAGAAUUGCUUGGGCCAUUGGUGCUCUGAAAGGUAUUGAAUUGAACUUGGUUUCAUUGAUUUAAUGGUAUUUAUGAUGGAUUUGGAUUUAUGUUUCUGCCCAAAUUUAAAAUAUAUUAAGCAGAAAGAAAGAGAAGUUAGCUAAAGGGGUGUUCUUUUCAAUUGGUUUAGUGGGUUCUUCUGAAGUAAAUUCUUACAUUCAUAUUUAGAUGAGAAUUAUCAAGAUCAUCACCCAUCUUCUGGUUGUGCUAGAAAUUGAGUUUUAUCCAGUGAGUGGACUCCCACAUGCUCUUUUAAAGCUUGAUCUCAAUUUUUUCCUUGUGGUUUGUAAUCAUUGGUUAAAUUCAAUGUAGAGCUAUACAUUUCAAGGCUUGGUCACAUAAUGAGAGUAUCUGAUUCUGAAUUGUUUUACUUUGGUUUCUGUUAUUUUAACAAUGGGUUUGUAGUUCCAUAUGGUUUCUCCCAUCCUAACAUGCCCAACAAAACUUGUUUAUCAGAUGAGUAAAGUUCAGUUCAUUAUGUGACCACAAAAAUUCUUUAUGAUACAUUAGCUAUACAUGCCAUUUGAAUUCCGUGUACAUUGAAGAAAUAUAAUGCUCAUUUCAUAUGGAUAUGUCGAAUGUGGCUUUCAUCUCUCACGGUCUCAACUUACCUCACCUCGUGUGCAUUCUUAGUAUUUCUACGUAUGUAUGAAUGACAUCAUUGACAUGGUACUUUUUUUUAUAAAUGUUAAUGUUCAUGGCAAUGUUUUUCCAUUUGCUUCCCAACUAUUCUAUACUCUCUAAGUCUUUAAUUUGAAAAGGACAUUGCUCGUAAACAAUGACUUGGCUGGCGCGCUUGGAAAACAACACCUGUGUUCCUUUUCUUUUUGUUCCAAACAACUCUUUAUCUCAUUUCUUUCCCGCUGGUUUGGUUUUUAACUCAGGUAAAGACUCAAAACAAAUCAACGCCUCCUUUUCUUUGUAGUGGUGGAGGGGCGAUGGUCCAGCAGUGGAUUGUUUUCUGACUGGAAGGGCCACAAAGAAAACGUAAGACUCCACAGGAUGAUUGUGCAAGAGAGGGUUUGAUGUGAAAGAGAAGCAAUCAGAGAGGGUAAGGAAUGUUAUAGCUCAGAGGGCUCAAGCAUGUGUUUAGUCAGAGGGAGAAGUUUAUGCAGAAUUGGUGAAUUGGGUUUGAUCAAAACUUAUAAUGUAAAGCAAGGGUCAACACAUUCUUUGGUUGCCCUGUUGAUGAACACAAGAUUUUUUAGCUCCAACUGAUGUAUGAUCUCUGUUGAUGAACACGAUAACUUUUAGUUCGGGAUUAUUUCUUUUAAAUCAAGGGUUAUGGGUAAGUGGAUAUACAUUGAAGUGGAAUACAUAAAAUGUGUAUGAUAUGGAAGCUGAUAGCGAUUUUAGAUGGUAUUGUUGUGUUGCGUUUUGUUAAUAACAGGAAGGGAACUGCACUGGAUUAGGCUCUACUACAGACUUCA